AAGCCGCAGCCUCCCACCAGUUCCACGGGCCCAUCUCUGCGGCGCGGAUAGUUACUUUGCAAGCGAAGACCACCUUUGGGCAGGGGAGCAUGUUCCCUUGUUCCCCUUCAAAAUUGGCCGUUGUGGGAUCCCUUCCCGCCGAAGCUAUGAGGGAAGAGGACCCUGGCCUCCGGUAUAAAUAGAGAGGGUAGGAUAGUUGAGAGGGAGGGUUUAUUCGGACGGUAGAACAAUACACCUAGUCGCUCGGCCUCCGGAGUCCCAAGAAUGUUGUACUAACUCAUCCACCACCUCCGUGAGAGGCAAUCCACCAAAAGCAGGAGUAGGGUUUUAUGCUUCACAGCGGCCCGAACCUAGGUAAACUGUUGUGUUCUGUGUUCCCCUCGCCAUUGAGUGAGUCCUUCAUUGUUUCCAUCGGAUAGUUGGUUAGGCGAGGCGAAGCAAGGAGAGACCUUCAUACACGCCCCAAAGUUUGAAUCCUUAGAGUUUUGCGGAGCCUGAAAUCUGACAUUUGGCGCGCCACGUAGGGGCGUGUUGAGGUUUCCUCCAAGCUCCGCCCUCACCAAGCUCCACGGCUCCGUUGGCUGAUGCUCGCCGGGUUUGCGCAGAACGCCGCGCCACCCGCAUCGCCCACACCGCGCCCGUCGGUGCCGCCGGCGUGCGCCGGUCGCCGUCACCCGUGGUGAACGCUACCACCGGCCCCGAAGCUAAAGAGAAACAGGGCUCCUCCCAGGCAGCGACUGAGCCGGUCGACCUCCGCACCCCCACGCCGUCGCUCGCCAGGCCUUCAGGGUCGGCAUCGCGCGCUCGGCCAGAGAUUCCUCAUGGUCGUCGCGCGCUUGCCAUGUCCACCGAGCUGCUGCAUUACUGGCGUGCUCCAGACCGCCACGACGACUGGCUCCAUCGCAUCGAGGAGCUCAUCACCGCCGCCGGUGACUCAACGACGCUCCCGCCGGUCACUCAACGACGCUCUCUUGCUCGCUACGGCCCCAGUCGUCCCUAACGAACAACGAGGAACAAGACGCGCCGCCCCCACCCCCGCGGCGUGUCGCAGAUCCCGAGCCCGGACAGGAAGACGACCCCAUGCCCGACCUCGUGAACCCAGGGCGGGGCCCGGGGGUGAAGAGAGCUGCCACAUGAUUCCCCGGCCCCGCACCAACACGUGCGCGCCCUCGGUGUUGCAGAUCCCACGCCAGGAGUAAGCCCCGCUCGAAGCAGACCCUCUGGAGAAACAAGACCCGGUAGCCCCCACGCGUACCGUGCUCGGUGGACCUGUGGGGUGCUUCACCAUCGCCCCCGAGGUCUACCCCGUCACGUGGCCCUGCAAGUUCAAGCCCGACCUGCCCCCACAUUACGAUGGCACCCAAGACCCGGCUGAGUUCUUGCAACUCUACACGCUGAGCAUCAGGGCGGCAGGAGGAGCCGAAAAGAUCAUGGCGUGCUAGUUCCCGAUGGCGCUCAAGGGCGGCGCACUCUCCUGGCUUGAUGUCCACGCACGCUUCUAUUCUUGUAUACUAUGUUGGGCCUCCAAGCGCAGAGGUUUGUAGGACAACAACAAUUUCCCUCAAGUGGAUGACCUAAGGUUUAUCGAACUCAGGGAAGUAAAGGCUGAAGAUGGUCUCUCUCAAGAAACCAUGCAAUUAAGAUACAAGAAGUCUCUUGUGUCCCCAACAAACCUAAUACAAUUGUCAGUUGUAUAGGUGCACUAGUUCGGCGAAGAGAUGUUAAAUACAAGUGAUAUGGAUGGUAAAACAAGGUAUUGUAAAUCUGAAAUAAAAAUGGCAGCAAGCAAACAUGAAACAAAACUGAAAGUAAACGGUGUUCAAUGGUGGAAAAACAAGGCCUAGCCUUCAUACUUUCACUAGUGGCUACUCCCAACAACAUUAACAUAGUCUAAUAACAUGAUAUUUCCACUAAAACAUGCAAUGGAGACGUACUCGGAGGUCAUUCCUUUGUGAUCAAGAGAGGACGAGAAUUAUGUAGGGCUACAAAAGCACACCUCAGAGUUCAUAGUUCUCAUCUAUGGAUUUCCCAAUAUCACUGCCGCCGUCCAAAGAGAGUACCACAAUCACCACAACAUAUCUCAAGGACAGUCAAAGACAAGCACCAAGAGACUCUCAAUCUUCAAUCAAUUCACAAAAGAGGAAAUCACUCAUAAAAAUAUUCUUCUAAUCCAUGUCCAAUAGACCGCUGUCACCAUGGUCUCGGAGAUUAUACUAGAUAAGAUCAAGUGAGUAGAUCAAUCCAAUACAUAGAAGAAGGGAAAACAACAUGGGAUCACCCUGGAUUAACAUAGCCUAUGAUCACAAUCAAGAUCAUAUCAUGGGAGAGAGAGAGAUAACCAUAUAGAUACACGUAGAGCCCUCAGCCCCGAGGGAGACUACUCACACAUGACCAUGGUGAGCAAGAGGUUCAUGGAGAGGUGCAGCCCGGAGAGGAGAUGGCGGCCAACGGCGGCGGCCACGGCCCUUGGCCGCCCUUCUUCCUUGUAGAUGGUGCUGGUAUGGAAAUACCAGUCCCUCCUCGUAUUAGGGGUUCGCAGAUUAGACAUGCAAACCCAAGAUAAAGCUUGUCCAGUAUGAGAAGGUCAUGAAUUAUCUACUACUUCCUCAUGAGCUAAAACAGAGGCACAAACCAGGAAUAAUUUUGAAAGUUUUAAAGGUAGCACAUGAGAAAUUUACUUGGAGUGGCGGUUAAAUACCACAUGUAGGUAGGUAUGGUGGACACAUUUGGCGAACUUUGGUUUUUGGGAGUUGGAUGCACGAGUAGAGCUCAUAUUUAGUACAGGUGGAGGCUAGCAAAAGACCGAGAGCGACAAAUUAAGAGAGAAAUAAUGGCCAUAAUCAUGCAUAGCGACAAAAACAUUAUUAAUCAAAGCAUAAAUGGUAUUACAAGUCAAAAACUAAAUGAUCAUAGAGGCUAUAAGUGACUAGUUUGUAGUCUUAACAUGGUGUGAGCAUGCGCCAAGUCAACCCAAAUGAAGUAGUAAAGGAGAAUACCACAAUAUUAUGCUUCGAUAUGAUAAAAACAACACAUGAUUCUUUCAAUGGCACAUUAAGCACUCCCAGCUAUUUGAGACAAGUCAUGCUACAUAAAUAACUACUAAGCAUAUAAUUAAGAUAAUAUCUAACAUGACAUGUUAAAGUCUAAGCCACAGUCUAAACGAGCUUCCUAUUGCACCACUAUAAGCAUGAAAUAUUUUACUCUUCUCCAACACCAAUCAACUUUCUUGAAACAACUCUCAUAGAUAAUAUUAAUUAAAGACCAAAUAGAUAAUCACAUAUAACUGAAGCAAACUAACAAGCUCUAAACAAAAUAUGAGUGGAAAACAAGAGCUAAACGCAGUACUAGCAAAAGGUGAACACUCACAGAACAAUAAGAGUGAAAACUAGAGUGUUCUAAGCAAUUAAAACGGAGUGUGUCUCUCUCCAAACUAAUAUGCUAGGAUCCAACCAUUUACUACAGCAAAGAAAACUAAACAAACUGAGAAGUAAAGAGUGGGACGCUCCAAGCAUAGCACAUAAUAUAUGAAGUGAUAAAAAUACAGUAUGGAGAAGGACGAACUAAUGAUUGUUGAUGGAGAAGGGGAUGCACGGGGGCAUACCCAAGCUUAUACGCUUGAGUCUCAUUGAACAUUUCUUGGGGAGCAUGGGCAUCCCCAAGCUUGAGUGCUUGACACUCCUGGAUCUUCUUUCAUCAGCUUCCAUUGCAUAGUUGAAAACUCCCUUCAUAGGGAACUCAUCAUAAGCUGAUUAGAGUGGUUAGUACCCAUAAUAAAAUAAUUUUUCUCCACUGGAAAUAAAUAUUUUUCAUGAAGAUCUACUGUUUCUCAAUAUUUCCAAAAAUAUUUUGCAAAUAAAAAGCAAGCUUAAGAUUUGCAAAACGAUGAAAACGCAAAACGUGGCAGAAUAUGUGAAAAACAGACCAACAUGUAGUAAAUAAUUUUUUCAGGGCACUUCUGCAACUCAAAUCAAAAAACUCAGAACAGACGCCAGAAAGCCCAUUGUAUAGAGCAUACUGUAAAACAAAUUCAGAUCAAAAAUAUGAUCUGGUGAUUUUUGGUGAAUUUUUCCGUCAAGCGGACAUAAUCUGUUUGGCGAUAGCAUGUCACAACUUUUGAACUUUCUUGCAAUCGGAGGCUCAAACUUGGCACGAAGCUUAAAAAUAAAGAUACAAUGAUGUUGCUACAGUAGUAACACACAUCAAGACCAAUAAAAACUGAAAGUAAAAACUCAAAGUAAAGAUAACAAGGGUUGUCUCCCUAGAGCUUUUUUUAUAGCCAUAAAGAUAGGCUUAAGAUUUUAAUGAUGCUCUCGUAGGAAUAAGAGUUGUAGAACAAAAGAGAGCAUCAAGAAGCAAAUGACAAACACAUUUAAGUCUAAAAUGCUUCCUAUGCAUAGGAAUAUUGCAAUAGAAUAAUUCACUGAAGCACAAAGCAAUAAGCAUAGGAAGGCAAAACAAGUGCAGGUUCAAAACCUUCAACAUAAAGAGAGGGAACUUGAUAUUAUUGAAAUAUCUAUAAGCAUAUGUUCCCUUAUCAUAAUAAUUUUCAGUGGGAUCAUGAAUAAACUCAACAAUAUAACUAUCACAUAAGGUAUUAUUUCCAUGAUCCAAAAGCAUAAAAGUACCAUUACUCUUCUUAUAAGCAAAAUCUUUCUUAUAGGAAUAGUGAGAGUAAAGCAAUCAAUAUCAUCAUGGUAAUCAUCAUAUUUAGGAAGCAUAGUAUCAUCAAAGCAAAUUUUCUCCUCAAAAGUUGGGGGACUAAAAAUAUCAUGUUCAUCAAAACCGUCACCCCCAAGCUUAGAGCUUUCCAUGUCAUUAGCAAUAUUGAUAUUCAAAGAAAGCAUACUAAUAACAUUGCCACCAUCAUAAUUGUUAUGCAAAUAAUAAAGUUCCAUAGGUUUUUUAAUUUUCUCCUCAAGCACUUCAUGUCCUAGUUCAAGAUAAAGUUUAUAAAGCUCUCUCAUAUUUUUGUUGUUUUCCAUUAAGCCUAACUAGUAAUAGAAACAAGAAACAAAAAGAUAUAUUUGCAAGAUCUAAAGAUAUACCUUCAAGCACUCACCUCCCCGGCAACUGCGCCAGAAAUAGCUUGAUGUCUACGCAUGCUUCUAUUCUUGUAGACUAUGUUGGGCCUCCAAGCGCAGAGGUUUGUAGGACAGCAGCAAUUUCCCUCAAGUGGAUGACCUAAGGUUUAUGAACUCUGGGAAGUAGAGGUUGAAGAUGGUCUCUCUCAAGCAACCCUCAAUUAAGAUACAAGAAGUCUCUUGUGUCCCCAACACACCUAAUACAAUUGUCAGUUGUAUAUGUGCAUUAGUUCGGCGAAGAGAUGUUAAAAGACAAGUGAUAUGGAUGGUAAAACAAGGUAUUGUAAAUCUGAAAUAAAAAUGGCAGCAAGGAAACAUGAAACAAAACUGAAAGUAAACGGUGUUCAAUAGUGGAAAACAAUACCUAGGCUUCAUACUUUCACUAGUGGCUACUGUUAGAGCAUAUAUCUCCACAUGUGGUUUUGGUAAUUCAUGACAAUUCCUAUGGACUAAUGGUUGCCUUAAGUUAUAUUUAUAGGAUUUGUCCAUAGGCACUUCUUGAAGUCCAUCUGUUGGGUUCAAAGAGUUUAUAUGAUGACCAAGAUGGUAUUCAAGGUAUUAUCCAAAGAAUGGUCAUAGAAACACUAGGUUGAUCAAGAUCUCAGACAAAGAGUAAAUCAAGAUGAUCAACACACAAAGCGUAUAAGAUGUACCGAGAGGGAUGAAGUGAUCCCAUGGUAUGGUAAGCAUUGUCCAUUACGUGUUUGUGUACUAACCCAUGGUCUUUGUGAGACUCCUAUGUGGGGGUUAGGUGUGUUUCCAUUGGGCUUGCGUCAAAAGGAAGAUCUCAUACCACCCAUGAAGGAUGACGACAAGUGGUGAUCGUCAUCAAGAUUGUGGUGUGCAAGUUCAAGUGGAUCAGCACGAAUAUAUCAUUGAAACUAUUGUCAAUGAUCAUGUGUUGAUAAGGACAAUCUCAUGUGCUAACAAGGACAAGAUCAAGAUAAGCAUUCCUGAGCACUACAUGCUUGAUUCUUGUGGAUGUUCACAUGGUGGAUAGGACAAGACCAAGAUAAGCAUUCUUGAGCACUACAUGCUUGAUUCUUGUGGAUGUUCACACAUGGUGGACAAAUGAAGAUAAAUACAUAAGCUAGGCUUUCCGCAUUGUGUAUGGGAAAGCUACUUGAAGACUUCAUGAUGUCUUGCUUUCAACUUGAGCCAAGAAGGAACAAUUUCGUGUUGUGAAGUUUUCAAGUUUUGGGUGAAGUUCUUAUGGACAAAGAGAUAAAGAGUGGCAAGAGCUCAAGCUUGGGGAUGCCCAAGGCACCCCAAGAGAUUCAAGGAUACCGUAAAAUCCUAAGCUUGGGGAUGCCCCGGGAAGGCAUCCCCUCUCUCGUCUUCAAUCCAUCGGUAACGUUACUUGGGGCUAUAUUUUUAUUCACCACAUGUUAUGUGUUUUUUGCUUGGAGCGUCUUGUAUCGUAGGAGUCUUUUAUUUUUGUUGUGUCACAAUCAUCCUUGAUGCACACCUAGAGAGAGAUACAUGCACUCACCGUGAUUUUGUCGAGCUUCACUUAUAUCCUUUGGUAGACAAUUCAGCUCACAUGUGCUUCACUUAUAUCUUUUGAGCUAGAUACUUUUGCUCUAUGUGCUUCACUUAUAUCUUUUAGAGCACAACAGUGCGUGGCUUGGUAGUUGAUCUUUGCUUUGAAAGUAGUCUCAAAAGGGGUAGUUAUCCAAAGGGAUACGAAAACUUCCACCUUCAUGUGCAUUGAAUAGUUAGAGAAGUUUGAUUCAUCUCAUUUAGUUUUGAGUUGUGGUUAUGGUAAUAUUGAAGUCAUGCUAGUAAGGUGUUGUGGAUCUUGAAAUACUUGUGUUGAAGUUAGUAAUUCUCGUAGCAUGCACGUAUGGUGAACCGCUAUGUGAUUAAACCUGAGCAUGAUUAGUCUAUUGAUUGUCAUCCUUUGCGUGGCGGUCGGGAUCGCGUGAUGGUUUAUACCUACCAACCCUUCCCCUAGGAGUAUGCGUUGAAUGCUUUGUUUCGAUUACUAUUAAAACUUUUGCAACAAGUAUAUGAGUUCUUCAUGACUAAUGUUGAGUCCAUGUUUUAGAUGCACUUUCACCUUACACCGUCACUAUCUUCUUAGUGUCGUGCAACUUUCGCUGGUGCACAAAACCCACCAUUAGCCUCCCUCAAAACAGCCACCAUACCUACCUACUAUGGCUUUUUCAAAGUCAUUCCGAGAUAUAUUGCCCUGCAACUACCACCAUGACAUGUGCCACCACGUCUACAUUGCCAUUGCAUGAUCGUAAGAUAGCUAGCAUGAUGUUUCCAUUAAUGUCUAUGCCAUGCUAGAUCAUUGUCACGGUACACUACCGAAGGCAUUCCAUAUAGAGUCAUCGUUGCUCUAAGUUUUGAGUUGAAAGUGUGAUGAUCAUCAUUAAUGGAGCAUUGUCCCAUGUGAGGAAAUAAAAGAGGCUAAAGAUGCCCACCCAAAAAAAGAGGCCAAAGAGCCCACCAAAAAAAUAAAAAAAUGAGAGAAAAAGAGAGAAAGUACAAUGCUACCACUUUUCCACACUUGUGCAUAUUAAGCACCAUGAUCUUCAUGAUUGAGAGUCUCUCGUUUUGUCACCACCAUAUAGCUAGUGGGAAAUUUUCAUUAUAUAACUUGGCUUGUAUAUUCCAAUGAUAGGCUUCCUCAAAACUGCCUUAGGUCUUCGUGAGCAAGCAAGUUGGAUGCACACCCACUAGUUUUCUUUAAGAGAUUUCACAUACUCUUAGCUCUACUACAUCAUUUGUAUGGCAAUCCCUACUCAUUCACAUUGAUAUCUAUUGAUGAGCAUCUCCACAUCUCAUUGAUAUGCCUAGUUAAUGUGAUCAUCUUCUCUUUUUUUGUCUUGCAACCUCCACCACACUCCACACAUAAUGCUAAAACCAUGGCUCACGCUCAUGUAUUGCGAGAGAGUUGAAAAGGUUUGAGAAAGUAAAGGUGUGAAACAAUUACUUGGCCAAUACCGGGGUUGUGCAUGAUUUAAAUUCGUUGUGCAAUGAUGAUCCUAUUCACCCCCCCCCUCUAGGCGUCAUCGAGGUCUUUUCAAUUGGUAUCAGAGCUAGGUCUCUCUUUAAUUAGGUUUCACGACCUAGAGAGUAUCGAUGUCGACUAUUGUAUUAGUGCACAAUGGCAUCUUUGACUUUGAUGGCACAAAUUAUACCCUAUGGAGAAUUCGCAUGCUUCAUCACUUUCGGGCCAUGGGCCCAAAUACUUUACGAAUUGUUCUUGUAGGGAUUGCCGACAAAAAGGAUGAUGCAUCUUCAUCUACUAAUGAAAUGUAUCUUGAUUGUGAGGCCUUUCUUGCCAUUCAUCGAACCAUAAGUCCUGAAGUGUUCAAGUCUAUCUCGACUUGCAAGUCAGCUCAUGAAGUUUGGACUAAACUUGAAGAUAGAUAUGGUGGAUCCAAUCUUGAUGAAGACGGUAUUAUGAUGAAGGAGUUGGUGCAUGAGCUCUUCACUCUUUUCGAUCUUAAAGAGUCCACCACUACUCCCAUAUCCGAUUGCUUGCACACCUCAACAUCUUCAAUCUCACAAGCUAAUGACAUGGUGAGUGAAGAAAUAUAUGUUGAUGAAAAUGGCAUAGCCUCUAUGGACACGAGCAUAUCUAGAACCACACAUAGUGUAAAUUAUUGUGUUGAUAGGUCAUGCAUUUCACCUAAAGAUUCCUUGACAAAUGUCUGUGGUGAUAUGCCUGCUUCCUCGUGUCCUCUUGAUCAAAAUAUCUUGUUUCUCCCUAGUUGCUCUAUGACUAACCAUUUAGGGGAAAUCAAGAAAUAUGAAGUACUUUUGGCUAAUGAAGAAUCUGAUUCACCAAAAGAAUCAUCAUCAACUCCUCCAGUUCACAUGUGCCUCAUGGCAAGAGGUAAUAAUGAGGUAUCAUCUUCCCUGUGCAAUAACGAUGAUAUUUGCGAUGAGGAUGAUGAUGAUGACUUGACUGAAAAUAUCUAUGUGAUCAGUAAAAUUCUUCAUAAAGCUAAAAAUAACUCUCUUCAAAGGUUCCAAGAUGUUCUUGCUUACUUUGAAAAUUGUAAUGAUUCACUUAAUUAUGAACAAGCUAAAAGUGAACAACUUGAACAUGAACUUGAGAAGAGUCAUCAAGCAUGUAGAGACUUAAGAUCUUCAAAAGGAGAGAUUGAAGUUGCUCAUGAUAAACUUAAAAGGGAUUUUGAGGUCCUUCUCCUUGAAUGCAAUAAUGUCAAGGGAGAGCUCAUCAAAACCUCUAAGAUCUAUGAGGAGCUUCAAUCUACUCAUGAGAAGUCUCUAUUUGCUACUUACUCCUCUCAUAUUGUUGAUGAUACUUGUACAUCUAACUCUACCUCUUUUGAAGUAUCAACAUUGAAGGAGAAUGUUGAGCUACGUGCUCAACUUGAUUUACUAACUAGCAAUUAUGGGAAGUUGGAAGAAAACCAUGUAAUGCUCACAAGCUCUCAUGUCGAUCUUCUAACAUCCUAUAAUGUGCAAUAGUUAGCUCAUGAGGCUAUCAUCACCAAGGUAACAUCAAGCGAGCCUCGUGUGGACAAUGGCACUACUUCUGGUCAAAGUACUAUAUUUCCAUGUGCUAGUCCUCGUAAUUCGUCUACUCAUAAUGUUGCUACCUCAUGUGAUGAAUUACUUUCCUUGCCUUGUUGCUCUAACAUUGAAGCCUACACUUCCUCUAGUACUUGCAUUGAUACUAACCGUGCAGAGGAAAUCAAAGAGCUCAAGGCCCAAGUCACUUCUUUGAAGAAAGACUUGGAACAGUGUCAUGAAGGGAUGCCCACACUCAACAACGUCCUGUGUGAGAAAACAUCUCCGAAUGACAAAAAUGAGUUUGGAGUAAACUCAAACAAGAACAAGAGGGGCCUAGAACAAGUCAAGAACUCGGCCAAAAUCAUUUGCUUCAAGUGCAAAGUUAAAGGGCACCAUGUUAGAUCUUGCCCUCUGAAGACGAAGUCUCAAAGUCACAAGCAACAAGGGAAGCAGCCACAAACUCAAUCACAUAUUCAACUACAAGUUGAAGGAAGGCCUCUUCCCAAUAAGACCCAAACCAACACUCCCCAAGGUGAGAAAUCAACUGGGAAGAAAGCAAAGGGUAGAUGUUGCUACUUAUGUCGUGAGAAAGGUCACGUUGCUUCGUCUUGCAAAAGAGGUAACUUAUCCAACCCAAUCACUAUUGAUGAUAUCUAUUCCCUUGGGAAGGAUAAGGUUGGCAAUGUGUUUGCCAAGUUUGUUGGUACUCAAAAUGGUGUCAAGAAAAGAACCAUUUGGGUUGCCAAGCCUAUUGUGAUUAACCUCUUAGGACCCAACGUAGUUGGGGACCAACAAGCUCAAACUUGAUCAAUAGGUGACUAUGGAGGACAUUAGAGACUUGAAUACAUAAUGAAGAAUUAAGGGGUAUUCAUCAUUCAUAUUAUCUCAAGCCAAGUCAUUUGGAUUAUCUAGUUUCUAUCUUAUAUCCAAUGUGCCUCCUUACGGUAACUUAUACUUAAACUGUUUACAUUGUUAGGUGCUUGGCCCCUUUUGCAUGUUGUGGUUUUGUACCUUGCAUGCGUUUGUAUAUUUUGUGCUUCCAACUUGCUUAUCUUGAGUAAUCAAGUAUGUGUUGCUUUGCACAUCAUGUACAUGUGAGUCUUGUAUUGAGCCUAUUUGCAUCUUGUCUGUAUUUUUGUUGGCUCUUGUGAGAGAUUAAUGGAUUAUCCCAUUGUGGAGGAGUGAUGUGCUUUGCACACCUCUCAAUCCUAUAAAUGUGUAUACAUGGGGAAUACCACUUAGUUUUGAUAUUUCAAGAUUAUCUAGUUUCUAUGUGGUAUGUCUUACUCAUGAGAAAUUCAAAUUCCAUAUGGUCCAUUAAUUAUCUCUUGUUGGUUUCAAUUUGCCACUUGUUAAUAUUGUUGGUUAUCACAUUAUGGGGAAGUAAUAUGCUGUGUGCAUAUUACAAACCUAGAAAAUGUGUACAUUUGACGUAUUGCCACUUAGCGUUGAUAUUGUAAACUAUCUUGUUCCUAGGUGGCAUGUUAGCUCUACAAGUGUCAUUUGCUUGCGUUUUAUGGGUAAAGAUGAUCUUGGAUAUAUUUGUGAUCUACUAAUGAGUAUCAUUUCAAAAAUACUUCUUGUCCUUGACAAUUGGUAUUCCCAUCAUAUGAUUGGAAUUGAUAAUCAUCUUUACAUUGGAUUUUGUGUUUCGUUUGUCUUUCUUGCCUCUUAUGAAUCUAUUUUUAACAUGUCUAGUGUGGUUAUAGAUAUAGAGAAAGUGAUGAUCCCAUCGUGUGCGUUUUGUAUUCAAAUGCAAAUUCUAUAUAAUGCACAUCCCUUGGGGGAGCUAUCCUAUUCCCUUUAAAAACACUCUCUUUAUUCACCCAUCAUAAAAUCAUUUGAUCCCCAUCAAGUGUGUGUUGAUGGGAGGCAAGUCUUGCUCUUUAUGAUGCUUUGUGCCAUCAUGAAAAUUUGUAGAGGGCUUUGUUUGUUGGAACCUAGCUCUCUCUUAGAAACUAGAUACCUCUGUUUGUUUUCCUUCAAUUGGUUUCUUGUUGCCUUCUAUUUGACAUGUGUCAAUGGAUAUCUCAUUCCUUGAUGUAUCUUUUAAUUGAUAUCUUUCAAGUGAUAGUUCUUUUGUUUUAGGAUCUUAUUGUCACUUGAUAUCUUGUCUUUUGAUGACUUAUCAACUUUGUGUUGAGUUGAUUCUUGAGAGUAUUGAGCAUGCAUAUCUAGCUACUAUAUACAACUUUUUUUGCUUGCUUUCCUCCUUUGACACAAUAUAUAAGGGAAACUCCACCCUGUCAUAAAUUGGCUAAAGUGUGCAUGAAAUUCAAAUUCAUAUCUAUAUGCACAUAUGGGUGUGGAGUUUGUCCUAUGUAUUGCUGGUUUUCUAACUCUUUGGUCACAAUGAGUUUGGGCACCAUUUUGUUUGUUUUGUUGUUCCAGGAACAACUGGAGAUGCAUUGGAUGCUCGGCUCACCUAUAAGGAAGAUGUUGAGACCAUGUGAUUAUUGGAGCCAAGUUAGGAUGAUCAAAGAACAACCAUCUACUACAUCAAUCCAAUGUUGUCUCGGUAACAAGUAUCCACUUCAUGCAUUCUUUUCUUGCAAAGGACCCAACCUGUCUUUUCUUUUCCAGGUUGCAUCAUGGCAUGAAUCUCUUGAUUCGUUCUUGUAGUACUUGUUUGCUUUCUCAAAGCAUCCGAACGAUGAUGUAUUACUACUAGUUGGGAUGUCUUUGAUGUUCGUAUGUUGGAAGUUCAUAUUAUACAAUAAGAAAAUAUUAGGCCAUGUGCUAUGCUUCCAAGCAAAAGAUCUCAUUGAUAUUAUUUAUGACUUCCCUUUUUGGAUAUCUAGUGUUCUUCCUUCUUGUAACCAUUUCGUGUGUACAUCCUUCUUUGUGGAUAUAUAUAUCAUCAUGAUUGUCUUCUACUUAGAAUCUUGGUCACAUGAGAGAAGUUACAUCUCUAAUUGAUAUCCUCUUUUCUUUCACGUCCAUCGCUGCAUUUCCUUUUUCGGUUUUGGUGGCAACGUGAAAGGAUUUGUUUUGAGUGCGUAUCUUAUUUUCCUACAUCUUGGUGCACUCUUUGGCCGAGAAGAUUAUUUUUCUUCAUGCUUGUCUUGAUGAGGGUUUUGCCAUUUUCAAUUAGUAUCCCUCCUCUUGACAAGAUUCUUACUUCCUAUCUUCACAAUGGGUUGUCACAAGCGUUGGUUCCUAUUUUGUUUAUUAGUAAGCUUGUGAACCCAUUUUCUAGUAUGUGUGUGUGGGAAUGAUAUGUCUUGCACUUUGUAUAUCAUAUUCAUCAAGACUAUGUUGAUGAGUAAUGCUCAUCCUUAUCUUAAGUCUUCUCAAGUGCUAUGCCAUGACUCACACACAUUACUUUGGUUGAGCUUAUUCUUAAGUUGCUUCCUUUACAUGUUGCUCAACCAUUAGUUUUGUGCAAUUGAUAUGCCUAUUGUCUCAUCUAUCUUCUUGCACUCGUUGUGUGUUUCUAUUAAUUCUGGGGGAGCAACGAUCCUAUUUUGUGCACCUGUGUCAAAUACAAAAAUCUCAUAUUAGUGCACAAAUCAUGGGGAGCUUCUCUAGUUUUUGAUAAAGCACUUUGUUGCCUCUAUCAUAAUAUCUUUUAUUCAUGUGGUUCGAAGGACCAUAUGAUUGUUUGUUCCAUCUGGAAUUCUUUGAUGGCUUGCCUCCAUCUUUGUAUGUCUUUGUGGCAUACGAUCCUUUUAUUUGCAAUAUUUGGGUCCUCAAUAUAGUUUGUUUUCCUCCAACUACUUAUCAUUGUAUUUGUGUAUUUUUUCUGCACUCAUUUGCUGAGAAGUACACACUUUUUGGAGGACCACCUACUAUUUUGGCUUUCUAAACUUGUCGUCCAUUUUGGCAAUCGAUGCCAAUGGGGGAGAAGUUUACUUUGGAUAUGUUUAGAGGGUUUUGCUUUUAUUGCGUAAGCAUUUACAUCUUGCACACAUGCAUUAUUACCUUGUAUGUGUGCGCUUGGUUAUGCUUAUUUCUUUACAUAAACUCUCUUGAAGUGGUUGUCUUCAAUUACCAAAAUGGGGGAGAUUGUUAGAGCAUAUAUCUCCAUAUGUGGUUUUGGUAAUUGAUGACAAUUCCUAUGGACUAAUGGUUGCCUUAAGUUAUAUUUAUAGGAUUUGUCCAUAGGCACUUCUUGAAGUCCAUCUGUUGGGUUCAAGGAGUUUAUAUGAUGACCAAGAUGGUAUUCAAGGUAUUAUCCAAAGAAUGGUCAUAGAAACACUAGGUUGAUCAAGAUCUCAGACAAAGAGUAGAUCAAGAUGAUCAACACACAAAGCGUAUAAGAUGUACCGAGAGGGAUCAAGUGAUCCCAUGGUAUGGUAAGCAUGUCCAUUACGUGUUUGUGUACUAACCCAUGGUCUUUGUGAGACUCCUAUGUGGGGGUUAGGUGUGUUUCCAUUGGGCUUGCGUCAAAAGGAAGAUCUCAUACCACCCAUGAAGGAUGACGUCAAGUGGUGAUCGUCAUCAAGAUUGUGGUGUGCAAGUUCAAGUGGAUCAGCACGAAUAUAUCAUUGAAACUAUUGUCAAUGAUCAUGUGUUGAUAAGGACAAUCUCAUGUGCUAAAAAGGACAAGAUCAAGAUAAGCAUUCCUGAGCACUACAUGCUUGAUUCUUGUGGAUGUUCACAUGGUGGAUAGGACAAGAUCAAGAUAAGCAUUCUUGAGCACUACAUGCUUGAUUCUUGUGGAUGUUCACANNNNNNNNNNNNNNNNNNNNNNNNNNNNNNNNNNNNNNNNNNNNNNNNNNNNNNNNNNNNNNNNNNNNNNNNNNNNNNNNNNNNNNNNNNNNNNNNNNNNNNNNNNNNNNNNNNNNNNNNNNNNNNNNNNNNNNNNNNNNNNNNNNNNNNNNNNNNNNNNNNNNNNNNNNNNNNNNNNNNNNNNNNNNNNNNNNNNNNNNNNNNNNNNNNNNNNNNNNNNNNNNNNNNNNNNNNNNNNNNNNNNNNNNNNNNNNNNNNNNNNNNNNNNNNNNNNNNNNNNNNNNNNNNNNNNNNNNNNNNNNNNNNNNNNNNNNNNNNNNNNNNNNNNNNNNNNNNNNNNNNNNNNNNNNNNNNNNNNNNNNNNNNNNNNNNNNNNNNNNNNNNNNNNNNNNNNNNNNNNNNNNNNNNNNNNNNNNNNNNNNNNNNNNNNNNNNNNNNNNNNNNNNNNNNNNNNNNNNNNNNNNNNNNNNNNNNNNNNNNNNNNNNNNNNNNNNNNNNNNNNNNNNNNNNNNNNNNNNNNNNNNNNNNNNNNNNNNNNNNNNNNNNNNNNNNNNNNNNNNNNNNNNNNNNNNNNNNNNNNNNNNNNNNNNNNNNNNNNNNNNNNNNNNNNNNNNNNNNNNNNNNNNNNNNNNNNNNNNNNNNNNNNNNNNNNNNNNNNNNNNNNNNNNNNNNNNNNNNNNNNNNNNNNNNNNNNNNNNNNNNNNNNNNNNNNNNNNNNNNNNNNNNNNNNNNNNNNNNNNNNNNNNNNNNNNNNNNNNNNNNNNNNNNNNNNNNNNNNNNNNNNNNNNNNNNNNNNNNNNNNNNNNNNNNNNNNNNNNNNNNNNNNNNNNNNNNNNNNNNNNNNNNNNNNNNNNNNNNNNNNNNNNNNNNNNNNNNNNNNNNNNNNNNNNNNNNNNNNNNNNNNNNNNNNNNNNNNNNNNNNNNNNNNNNNNNNNNNNNNNNNNNNNNNNNNNNNNNNNNNNNNNNNNNNNNNNNNNNNNNNNNNNNNNNNNNNNNNNNNNNNNNNNNNNNNNNNNNNNNNNNNNNNNNNNNNNNNNNNNNNNNNNNNNNNNNNNNNNNNNNNNNNNNNNNNNNNNNNNNNNNNNNNNNNNNNNNNNNNNNNNNNNNNNNNNNNNNNNNNNNNNNNNNNNNNNNNNNNNNNNNNNNNNNNNNNNNNNNNNNNNNNNNNNNNNNNNNNNNNNNNNNNNNNNNNNNNNNNNNNNNNNNNNNNNNNNNNNNNNNNNNNNNNNNNNNNNNNNNNNNNNNNNNNNNNNNNNNNNNNNNNNNNNNNNNNNNNNNNNNNNNNNNNNNNNNNNNNNNNNNNNNNNNNNNNNNNNNNNNNNNNNNNNNNNNNNNNNNNNNNNNNNNNNNNNNNNNNNNNNNNNNNNNNNNNNNNNNNNNNNNNNNNNNNNNNNNNNNNNNNNNNNNNNNNNNNNNNNNNNNNNNNNNNNNNNNNNNNNNNNNNNNNNNNNNNNNNNNNNNNNNNNNNNNNNNNNNNNNNNNNNNNNNNNNNNNNNNNNNNNNNNNNNNNNNNNNNNNNNNNNNNNNNNNNNNNNNNNNNNNNNNNNNNNNNNNNNNNNNNNNNNNNNNNNNNNNNNNNNNNNNNNNNNNNNNNNNNNNNNNNNNNNNNNNNNNNNNNNNNNNNNNNNNNNNNNNNNNNNNNNNNNNNNNNNGGUUUGGAAGCCACCUCAAAGGCUUACCACUAGUGGUUGAGAAACGCCUAUGUGGUGUUAUCUCAAAGGGAGAAUAGGGUGAGCCUUCGUGGUGUUGGUGUGCCUUCGUGGUAACAUCCACCUCUCUAAUGGUGACUAGCUUCCCUCCAAGGAAGUGAACAUCGGGAUACAUCUUCGUCUCAGUGACCUUGGUUAUCCUCAACCCUAACUCCUUACUUGUGGUUUACUUGUGUUAUUUGAGCAUACAUACAUUGCAUAUUGCUUGUGCUCAUUAUAUUGUGUUGGCCAUUUCUUGUACAAGAUUAAUCAUUCAAGCAUACCCUCUAUAUUCACACGUACAUACUUGCAACCCUUGAUAUAUCGUGUGAUAUAGUGUGAUCUAGUAUCUUGUGUUGUUCACCUACUUGUCGUGUGAUAUAGCUCAAGUAAGUUUGUGUAACUUACUUGUGCUUGUUAGUAACUGCAUUGUGUCCAUCUUAGUAGAUCGUGUUGUUGAUACACGUUGCAGUGCCUAGUGAAUUUAGGAUUUGUGCUUGACAAGUACCCUCUUAGUUUAUUUCCGCAUCAGGUUCAAGCCAAAUCUGAAGAAGUUUUUAAAUAGUCUAUUCACCCCCCCCUCUAGGCGUCAUCGAGGUCUUUUCAGCUACUCCCAACAACAUUAACAUAGUCUAAUCACAUGAUAUUUCCACUAAAACAUGCAAUGGAGACGUACUCGGAGGUCAUUACUUUGUGAUCAAGAGAGGACGAGAAUUAUGUAGGGCUACAAAAGCACACCUCAGAGUUUGUAGUUCUCACCUAUGGAUUUCCCAAUGUCAUCACGGCCAUCCAAAGAGAGUACCACAAUCACCACAACAUAUCUCAAGGAAAGUCAAAGACAAGCACCGAGAGACUCUCAAUCUUCAACCAAUUCACAAAAGAGGAAAUCACUCAUGAAAAUAUUCUUCUAAUCCAUGUCCAAUAGACUGCUGUCACCAUGGUCUCGGAGAUUAUACUAGAUAAGAUCAAUUGAGGACAUCAAUCCAAUACAUAGAAGAAGGGAAAACGGCAUGGGAUCACCCUAGAUUAACAUAGCCUAUGAUCACAAUCAAGGUCACAUCAUGGGAGAGAGAGAUAACCACAUAGCUACACGUAGAGCCCUCAGCCCCGAGGGAGACUACUCACACAUGGCCAUGGUGAGCAAGAGGUUGAUGGAGAGGUCUAGCCCGGAGAGGAGACGGCGGCCGGCGGCGGUGGCCACGGCCCUUGGGGCGGCGACACUUGGCCCCCUUCUUCCUUGGAGAUGGUGCUGGUAUGGAGGUGGUUCUUGUUGGGGAACGUAGCAUGGGAAACAAAAAAAUUCCUACGCGCACGAAGACCUAUCAUGGUGAUGUCCAUCUACGAGAGGGGAUUUCCGAUCCACGUACCCUUGUAGAUCGCACAGCAGAAGCGUUAAGAAACGCGGUUGAUGUAGUGGAACGUCCUCACGUCCCUCGAUCCGCCCCGCGAACCGUCCCGCGAUCCGUCCCACGAUCCGCUCCGAUCUAGUGCCGAACGGACGGCACCUCCGCGUUCAGCACACGUACAGCUCGACGAUGAUCUCGGCCUUCUUGAUCCAGCAAGAGAGACGGAGAGUUAGAUGAGUUCUCCGGCAGCGUGACGACGCUCCGGAGGUUGGUGGUGAUCUAAUCUCAGCAGGGCUCCGCCUGAGCUCCGCAGAAACGCGAUCUAGAGGUAAAACCGUGGAGGUAUGUGGUCGGGUUGCCGUGGCAAAAGUUGUCUCAAAUCAGCCCUAAAACCCCACUAUAUAUAGGAGGGAGGGAGGGGAGGAGGCAGCCUCAAAACCUAAAGGUUUGGCCGAAAUUGGAGGUGGAGGAAUCCUACUCCAAUCCUACUUGGAGUAGGAUUCCACCUUCCCACUUGGAAACUCUUUCCACCUUGUGUUUUUUCCUUCUCAAACCUUAUGGGCCUUAGUGGGAACUUAUUCCAGCCCACUAGGGGCUGGUUUAUCUCUUCCCAUAGCCCAUGAGACCCCUUGGGGCGUGACACCCCUCCUGAUGGUCCCCGGCACCCCUCCCGGCACUCCCAGUACACUACCGAUGAGCCCGAAACUUUUCCGGUAAUGCACGAAAACCUUCCGGUAACCAAAUGAGGUCAUCCUAUAUAUCAAUCUUCGUUUCCAGACCAUUCCGGAAACACUCGUGACGUCCGUGAUCUCAUCCGGGACUCCGAACAACAUUCGGUAACCAACCAUAUAACUCAAAUACGUAGAAAACAACGUCGAACCUUAAGUGUGCAGACCCUGCGGGCUCGAGAACUAUGUAGACAUGACCCGAGUGACUCCUCGGUCAAUAUCCAAUAGCGGGACCUGGAUGCCCAUAUUGGAUCCUACAUAUUCUACGAAGAUCUUAUCGUUUGAACCUCAGUGCCAAGGAUUCAUAUAAUCCCGUAUGUCAUUCCCUUUGUCCUUCGGUAUGUUACUUGCCCGAGAUUCGAUCGUUAGUAUCCGCAUACCUAUUUCAAUCUUGUUUACCGGGAAGUCUCUUUACUCGUUCCGUAAUACAAGAUCCCGCAACUUACACUAAGUCACAUUGCUUGCAAGGCUUGUGUGCGAUGUUGUAUUACCGAGUGGGCCCCGAGAUACCUCUCCGUCACACGGAGUGACAAAUCCCAGUCUCGAUCCAUACUAACUCAACGAACACCUUCGGAGAUACCUGUAGAGCAUCUUUAUAGUCACCCAGUUACUUUGCGACGUUUGAUACACACAAAGCAUUCCUCCGGUGUCAGUGAGUUAUAUGAUCUCAUGGUCAUAGGAACAAAUACUUGACACGCAGAAAACAGUAGCAACAAAAUGACACGAUCAACAUGCUACAUCUAUUAGUUUCGGUCUAGUCCAUCACAUGAUUCUCCUAAUGAUGUGAUCCCGUUAUCAAGUGACAACACUUGCCUAUGGUCAGGAAACCUUGAGCAUCUUUGAUCAACGAGCUAGUCAACUAGAGGCUUACUAGGGACAGUGUUUUGUCUAUGUAUCCACACAUGCACUGUGUUUCCAAUCAAUACAAUUAUAGCAUGGAUAAUAAACGAUUAUCAUGAACAAAGAAAUAUAAUAAUAACUAAUUUAUUAUUGCCUCUAGGGCAUAUUCCCAACAGUUCUCCACCCCAAGGCGGCUGCGUGGGAGGAGGAAAUUUCGUGGCUUUUGGUGGCUCUCCAGAAAUCAGGGUUUUCCUCUCCUUAUAUGAGUUGGGACGAUCAUCCUUGGCCCUCUAAUGGAUGCCCCUUUAAUCCAAGGGCUCCUGGGAACCUCUAGAACCUUCCUUGGGAGUCCUCUCAGCCCUAAUGAGGCCCCAAAGUCGUGGCUUGGCUGAAUCCCCCAAGUUUGGAAAGAGUUGGAGUCAACCACGUCACAAUAUUUCGGAUUCCCGUAAUCAGAUUUUGUCCUUCAGUAAAACGGGUCUACAGGCCACGUCCGGACUACGUUUUGGACGAAUUUUUAGUCUAGAAUGUUCACUCAUAAUUCCCCACAACUUUAGCAUCUAUUAUUUUUCCAUUUGACGUCAUCUUCGAGGCGGAAACAAACGAUCUCGAAAAUCUACAGGGGGGACAAAUUUCAGGAAAGUCAGAGUCCUACUCCAAUACGACUCCUUUUGCAUUUUUGUCAAUUUCCAAGUAAUUCCUACACACCAAAAUGUAAAACAAGAACGUUGUGCACUUUUGCGACCAUUAAUAGGUUAGUCCAAAUAUAUGCUUAAAGUUAUAAAAUUAGUAGAAACAUGAGACAAUGAUGCAAAACAAGCAUGACACAAGAAAAAAUUAUGGAUACGUUUGGGCCGUAUCAUGGCUCAUCAACCUCCCGAAGGCGUCCAUCACGUCCUGGAACGGCCUGCGCAAGCACUUCAUCGCCAACUUCCAGGGCACUCGCAACCGUGCUCCCACCGUGAACGACCUGUGGCGUGUCAAGCAGCAGGAGGGAGAGACCCUACACAAGUUCAUACAACGUUUCACGAUCAUGCGCCUCAAGAUUCCCAAGGCGUCGGACGAGGCCGUCAUCUAGGCUUUCUCCAACAGAGUCACCAACCUCGGGAUGAAGGAAGAGCUUGCCAUGAACGAUGAAAUGAGCACCACACUGGAGAUGUUCAACUUGGCAAGCAAAUGCGCCAAGGCGGAAGAAGGACGCUUGUCGCUCCUCGGGCCCUAGGCGGCGGACCCAGAAGAGAAGAAAGCCAAAGCUAAGGAGGUGAAGCGCAAGGCCCCGGCGGUGCUUGUCGUCGAGCCUGAGGCAAAGCAUACCCGAGGGGGGAGCACCCAUCCGGAGGGGGGCCGACGUGCAUCUUCCAUGGCACCAGCGGCCAUGACACUCUGAAUAUCAAGAACUCCGUUUGGUUCGUGCCAAGCACUUCAACAGGCGCCCCGGAUGAUUCGAUAGAAACCCUGCGCACGGAGGAGGCCGCAAUGGGGCCGCUGGGAUGACCGUGAGCCACGUCAGGGGUGGCGUGAACAGCCUCAGGAGGACCCCUGGCAUGGCCAGCCUCAGGAGGACCGCUGGCGUGAUAAUCCUCAGGAGGGGCAGCGACGCGGCCAACCUCGUGAGGCUCGCCCUCGGGAGGCCGGGCUGCCCCCAUUGCCUCCGCAACCCACGAGGAGGGAUGAAGACAGGCAAGACAACGGGGCUGGGGGCUUCCAGGAGGCCAGGGCAGUGGCUUCCAUCCUGGGUGGCGCCCAGACCCGAGCCUCCAACCGCGCCUUGAAGUAGUUUGCUCGGGAGGUGAAUGGCACCCUCCCGAGGUCUGAAGCAAAGUGUCCCCUCAACUGGUCCUAGUCCACCAUUGCUUUCGACCCAAGCGACCAGCUCAGGUGCUCAUUCAUGGCCGGCAAGCUCCCAAUGAUGUGCACCCCAACCAUCAGCAACGUCCUCGUCACCAAGACCCUCAUUGACAGUGGAGCUGGGCUCAACCUCCUCUGAGUCGAGACCUUCGAGAAGCUCCAGCUGUCGUAUGAGCAGCUCAUGCUGACCAAGCCCUUCUCAUGGGUAACAGAGGGAUCCAUUGUACCCAUUGGGCAAGUGCAUCUGCCCGUCACCUUCGACGAGGGCUAGAACUACCACACUGAGAUCAUCAUCUUCGACGUCGCACACAUCCACCUGCCAUACAACGCCAUCCUCAGGUACCCAGCGCUCGCCAAGUUCAUGGCAGUGGCCCACCAUGGAUACAAUGUCCUCAAGAUGCCGGGGAGCGGCGGCGUCAUCACCAUUCCCUGUCACGAGAAGGAUGACGUGUGUGCACUGGAGCGAGCGUAUCGUGCGGUGGCGGCGGAACGCUCGGACGAUGAAGACGACGAGCUGCCUCGCGAGGAUCCACGCAAGAAGAAGAAGAAGGAGCUCCUCCCCACGGAGUGCCUUGGGGCUUUGGGCUCCAUGCCCGGGGACGGAGCCCUGCCCCCCAUCGCAUAGGGAUGCGCGCUCGGCGCCCCUCUUGAGUCAGAGCUGGGGGCUCCCACCGGUGAGGCCCCUAGCUUGGUCAGUGAGGCGGAGGCGGCGUUCGAGCACAUCCCGAGGGAGCGCUCUAGAGCACGUCUGACCAGCUCUCGCGAGUCCGUCAUCAGAGAAAUCCGAGAACUUCGUGAGGCCCAGGCCAUGCGAUGCGGUGACUGCACUGCACCACCAAUCGCAGUCGCCGUCGUCGGCACGGUUGACCAACCCCGCAUCUGCAUCAACGCGUCUGCAACCAACAUAGCCGCGGCACAUGGCCCCUUCUGGCCCAUACUGACUGGCUACCAGUGGGAGUACCCGGGCACCAACGCCUUCAUGCCCUUCGGGCUGGGGAACGCGGUUGCCACUUACCAGAUGCCACGAGGAGGAGGAGGAGAUGCUCGGGCCAAGUGAAGGCCCCGAGCCUCGGGAGGCGGCGGACCCGUGAGGGUCACGACCGCAGAGACAAGAGAUCAAGCGACGGAGCCUCCAGCACUUCAGCGGCUCGGCCGCGAGGUGACUUUUUGUUGGCUGGUGCUAGGUAACUUUUCGGUUCACCCCGUCUGAGGGCAACCCGGGGCCAUGCAGCCUCCCCUAGCUCCGGACUUUCCCUAGCUACUACUUUUGAUUAUGCGUCGUUUGGUUAUUCAAUUUCACCUGUUUGGCAUUCUAACGUUCUGCCUUGGUUAUAUUGUCGGGCGGUCGUGUGACAGCCCGAGACCGACGCCCCAGAAGAUUCCCCCUUUAUUUCCAUUUCCGUCGUGUGAUUAGUUUUAUUUGUUGCAUCAUCAUUUAGUUUGCAUCGUCGCAUCAUGCAUGGCAUCUUGCAUCGUCUGUCGCGUGUGGUGUUUUGAGUGUGUGUGCUUCGAGUGCUCUCCAAGUCUUGGUGCGGUAGUAACUCCCCUCCUCUCUUCUCUUUUAUUUGUUUUGGGUUGCGUAAAAGUUUCCGUUUUAACCCCUUUUAAAAAUCGUCUUCUUUUAAAACUCCUUCUGUUAAAAGGUGGGGGCAACCCCUUGGGUUUUUCUCUUAUUUUUUCUUUUGUUUCAUUUCAACUAGAGUUACAUUUUUAUUUCUAAAAGGGGUUUGAUUUUAUUCUUUUAUGAAAAGGGUUUUUAUUAUUUCUCAAAAGGUUUCAUCUUAUUCUUUUAAAAGCCCAAUCUAUUUCUUAUAGUUGGGGUUUAAUUUUCAAAUGAGCAAAAUCAUUUUUUUUUAUUUUGUUAAACGUUUUUCUUUUGUUUAAGCUUUCUGUUUUAAAGUAAAAAAAAUUAAGAGAGAGGGAGAAAGCAAGCCUGGCCAAGGCCCAGGCCAGGCCCAGGCCCAGAUCCCCGUGCCCUAGCGCCCCAGCCGACCCCCAUCUCUCUCGUUUCUUCCUCCCCCCGAUUCCCUCUUCCUCCCGCAGCGCAGCCCCUCUCGUCUCCUCCCCCUCGCCCGAUUCCCUCUUCUGCCCCGCCGCCAGCACCUCCCUCUGCCCAGCCACGCGCAAGCCCUAACCGCCGAUGUGCCCUCGGCCCCCUCGCUGCCUCCUCCCCCACUGGUCGCCGUCCCCACGCCAUGGUCUUCGCCGGCCUCAACUGCCCGCCUGCGCCCUCCGGCAGCCCUCAUCGCCGCGCCAUGGCCUCUCCCGGUAGUCGUCGUUCCCCGCCGAGCCUAUAUGUUGUUGCUGUUUUGAGCUGUUGCCGCUGCCUGAUACGUCUCAAACGUAUCUAUAAUUUUUGAUGGUUUCAUGUUGUUAUCUUGUCAUCUUUGGAUGUUUUAUGUACCUUUUAUAUCUUUUUUGGGACUAACUUAUUAAUUCAGUGCCAAGUGCUAGUUCCUGUUUUUUCUCUGUUUUUCGCUCUUUUCAGAUCUGAUUUUGGAACGGAGUCCAAACGGAAUAAAAUCCCCGAAAUAAUUUUUUCCCAAACGGAAGAAGAUCACGGGGCUUGAGGGCCAAGCUAGGAGGGCUACACGGGGGCCACAAGCCCCCCAUCCGCACCAGGGGGCGGCGAAUGGCAGGCUUGUGGCCUCCCUGGCGCCCCCCUGACCUAGAUCCUUCGCCUAUAUAUUCCCUAAAAUACAGAAAAAAAUCAAGGGAUCCACGAAAAUACUUUUCCGCCGCCGCAAGCUUCCGUUUCCGCGAGAUCUCAUCUGGAGACCCUUCCCGGUGCCCUGCUGGAGGGGACUUUGGAGUUGGAGGGCUUCUACAUCAACAUCAUCACCUCUCCAAUGACUCGUGAGUAGUUCACUUCAGACCUACGGGUCCAUAGUUAGUAGCUAGAUGGCUUCUUCUCUCUCUUGGAUCUUCAAUACAAAGUUCUCCAUGAUCUUCAUGCAGAUCUAUCCGAUGUAAUCCUCUUUGGCAGUGUGUUUGUAGAGAUCCGAUGAAUUGUGGAUUUGUGAUCAGAUUAUCUAUGAUAUAUAUUUGAGGCUUUGUUGAUUUCUUAUAUGCAUGAUUUGAUAUCCUUGUAAGUCUCUCCGAGUCUUGGGUUUUGUUUGGCCAACUAGAUCUAUGAUUCUUGCAAUGGGAGAAGUGCUUGGUUUUUGGGUUCUUACCGUGUGGUGACCUUUCCCAGUGACAGUAGGGGCGGCAAGGCACACAUCGUGUAGUUUCCAUCAAGGGUAACAAGGUGGGCUUUGUCGUAGAUAUGAGAUUGUCCAUCUACAUCAUGUCAUCUUGCGUAAGGCGUUACUCUGUUCUUUUGGACUUAAUACACUAGAUGCAUGCUGGAUAGCGGUCGACGUGUGGAGUAAUAGUAGUAGAUGCAGAAAGUAUCGGUCUACUUGUUUUGGACGUGAUGCAUAUAGAUAUAAUCAUUGCCAUAGAUGAUGUCACGACUUUGCGCAGUUCUAUCAAUUGCUCGACAGUAAUUUGUUCACCCACCGUCUACUUGCUUUCAUGAGAGAAGCCACUAGUAAACACUACGGCCCCCGGGUCUAUUCACACCUACCGUUUCCACUUUUGCUUUUACUUUGCUUUGUUACUUUGUUGCUUUCAGUUCUCACUUGGCGAACAAUCUAUUUGGGAUUGACAACCCCUUCAUAGCGUUGGGACCAAGCUUUUUGUGUUUGUGCAGGCACUUGAGAUACUCCUUCACUGGAUCGAUACCUUGGUUCUCAAACUGAGGGAAAUACUUACCACCGCUGCGCUACAUCACCCUUUCCGCUUCGAGGGAACACCAACGCAAGGCUCCAAGGCCACGGGGAAAAUCCUUUGCAUAUUUGCCUAGGAAGUCCCUUAAGGCGUAGCCGUAGCAGAAGGAUUUCUGGCGCUAUUGCCAGGGAGGAGCACGUCAAGAUAAUUUCCCGACAACGUGCCUAUUUCUGGCAUCGUUGGAAGGUCUUUUGUUGCAGUAGCAGAAGUAUUUCUGGCGCCGUUGCCGGGAAGGAGAGAUCUAUCCAAGUAGGUCUCACAAACUCAUCUCUUGCAUUUACUUUUUUGCCAGUUGCCUCUCGUUUUCCUCUCCCCCACUUCACAUUUGCCGUUUUCGUUUGCCUUUCUCCUUUGUCGUUUUCUUUUGCUUUUUGCCUUUUUGCCAUUCCCUUUCGCCCGCCUGCUCUUAGGCUUGUCCGUGAGAGACCUUUCCUCAUGGCCAAAUCAAACUAUUUCAGAAAAUUGGAGGAGAUUGAAACUAAUGUCAAAGGUUUCAUGUCUUCUCAGUUUGACCAAAAUAGUUACUUCCGUAGGGAAUUAAAAGAGCAAAAUUCCUUUUUGGUCUGUUUGAAUAAAGAGGUUGAUGAUAUGGCCAAUGAUUUCCUUGCACUUAAUUCUCAGCUUGCUCACCUUGAAAAAUUGGUGGGCCAAAUUUCUCACAAGCAGGCUACCUUAGUUAAUAAGAUGGCAGCUAAACCUGAAAUUUGUGAUGCAAAUCACGAAGAUCUUAAAGUGCUUGGUGUGUCUCCUCUUGAAUCUUUGUUUUCGCGUGUCAAACCUAUUGAUGGAGGGGCUGGAUAUGAAUCCACUUUGGUUGAAAAACGCCCCAAUGAUUCGGAGUCCACCCAUCUUGAUGAUAAAGGUGUGGAGAGUGGAGUAGAAGAAAUCAAAAUUUUGGGUAGUAAUAAAACUCCCACUUUGGAUUUCAAGGAAUUCAAUUAUUAUAAUUGCUCCUUGUUUGAAUGCAUCUCUUUGAUGCAAUCCAUUGCAAACUCUCCACAUGUUUAUAACCAAAGCAAAGCCUUUACCGCGCAUGUCGUAGAUGCUAUGAUGAAAUCUCUUGAAGAGAAGCUCGAAUUAGAAAUCUCUAUACCUAGAAAACCUCAUGAUGAGUGGGAACCUACUAUCAAAAUCAAGAUAAAAAACUAUGAGUGCAAUGCUUUGUGUGAUUUGGGUGCUAGUGUUUCCGCGAUUCCAAAGUCUUUAUGUGAUAUUCUUGGUUUUCAUGAGAUUGAAGAGUGUUCUCUUAAUUUGCAUCUUGCGGAUUCUACUGUCAAGAAACCCUUGGGAAGGAUCGAUGAUGUUCUUAUUGUUGCAAAUAAGAACUAUGUACCCCUGGAUUUCAUUGUACUUGACAUAGAUUGCAACCCUUCAUGUCCCAUUAUUCUUGGUAGACCUUUCCUAAGGACUAUUGUUGCUAUCAUCGAUAUGAAGGAAGGGAAUGUUAGAUUUCAAUUUCAUUUAAAUAAGGGCAUGGAGCACUUUCCUAGAAAGACAAUAAGAUUGCCUUAUGAAUCUAUGAUGAGGGCUACUUAUGGUUUGAGCACCAAAGAUGACUAUACGUGAUUCCAUCACCUUUCGCCUAGCUAAGGGCGUUAAAUAAAAUCGCUUGUUGGGAGGCAACCCAACGAAUCUAUCCUUUUUCUUUCUAUUUUGUGUUUUCCACACUUUCAUAAUUCUGUUAUGAUUGUGUUUUUUGUGUGUUUUUUGCGUUUGUGUCAAGCAAAACCGUUAUGAUUAGUCUUGGGGAUGAUCGUUUGGUCAUGCUGGAAAAGACAGAAACUUUCUGCUCACGAAAAGAAUUUUCAUUUUUUCUGUAAGAGCUUUUGAGUUGAUUAUUUUUGCUUCCGAUUUCUAUGCAAAUUCUACAGACUAACGUAAUUUUCAGAAUUUUUGAAGUACCAGAAGUAUAUGAAAUAUACAAAUUGCUACAGACUGGUCUGCUGUUAACAGAUUCUGUUUUUGUUGUGUUGGUUGCUUAUUUUGAUGAAACUAUGGAUAGUAUCGGGGGGUAUUAGCCAUGUAAGAUUGAAAAUACAGUAACCCAACAUCAGCAUAAGUAGAAUUUAAGUUUUCUACAGUACCUAAGGAAGUGGUGGUUUGCUUUCUCAUACUAAUGUUAUCACGAGUUUCUGUUUAAGUUUCGUGUUGUGAAGUUUUCAAGUUUUGGGUGAAGUUCUUAUGGACAAAGAGAUAAAGAGUGGCAAGAGCUCAAGCUUGGGGAUGCCCAAGGCACCCCAAGAGAUUCAAGGAUACCGUAAAAUCCUAAGCUUGGGGAUGCCCCGGGAAGGCAUCCCCUCUCUCGUCUUCAAUCCAUCGGUAACGUUACUUGGGGCUAUAUUUUUAUUCACCACAUGUUAUGUGUUUUUUGCUUGGAGCGUCUUGUAUCGUAGGAGUCUUUUAUUUUUGUUGUGUCACAAUCAUCCUUGAUGCACACCUAGAGAGAGAUACAUGCACUCACCGUGAUUUUGUCGAGCUUCACUUAUAUCCUUUGGUAGACAAUUCAGCUCACAUGUGCUUCACUUAUAUCUUUUGAGCUAGAUACUUUUGCUCUAUGUGCUUCACUUAUAUCUUUUAGAGCACAACAGUGCGUGGCUUGGUAGUUGAUCUUUGCUUUGAAAGUAGUCUCAAAAGGGGUAGUUAUCCAAAGGGAUACGAAAACUUCCACCUUCAUGUGCAUUGAAUAGUUAGAGAAGUUUGAUUCAUCUCAUUUAGUUUUGAGUUGUGGUUAUGGUAAUAUUGAAGUCAUGCUAGUAAGGUGUUGUGGAUCUUGAAAUACUUGUGUUGAAGUUAGUAAUUCUCGUAGCAUGCACGUAUGGUGAACCGCUAUGUGAUUAAACCUGAGCAUGAUUAGUCUAUUGAUUGUCAUCCUUUGCGUGGCGGUCGGGAUCGCGUGAUGGUUUAUACCUACCAACCCUUCCCCUAGGAGUAUGCGUUGAAUGCUUUGUUUCGAUUACUAUUAAAACUUUUGCAACAAGUAUAUGAGUUCUUCAUGACUAAUGUUGAGUCCAUGUUUUAGAUGCACUUUCACCUUACACCGUCACUAUCUUCUUAGUGUCGUGCAACUUUCGCUGGUGCACAAAACCCACCAUUAGCCUCCCUCAAAACAGCCACCAUACCUACCUACUAUGGCUUUUUCAAAGUCAUUCCGAGAUAUAUUGCCCUGCAACUACCACCAUGACAUGUGCCACCACGUCUACAUUGCCAUUGCAUGAUCGUAAGAUAGCUAGCAUGAUGUUUCCAUUAAUGUCUAUGCCAUGCUAGAUCAUUGUCACGGUACACUACCGAAGGCAUUCCAUAUAGAGUCAUCGUUGCUCUAAGUUUUGAGUUGAAAGUGUGAUGAUCAUCAUUAAUGGAGCAUUGUCCCAUGUGAGGAAAUAAAAGAGGCUAAAGAUGCCCACCCAAAAAAAGAGGCCAAAGAGCCCACCAAAAAAAUAAAAAAAUGAGAGAAAAAGAGAGAAAGUACAAUGCUACCACUUUUCCACACUUGUGCAUAUUAAGCACCAUGAUCUUCAUGAUUGAGAGUCUCUCGUUUUGUCACCACCAUAUAGCUAGUGGGAAAUUUUCAUUAUAUAACUUGGCUUGUAUAUUCCAAUGAUAGGCUUCCUCAAAACUGCCUUAGGUCUUCGUGAGCAAGCAAGUUGGAUGCACACCCACUAGUUUUCUUUAAGAGAUUUCACAUACUCUUAGCUCUACUACAUCAUUUGUAUGGCAAUCCCUACUCAUUCACAUUGAUAUCUAUUGAUGAGCAUCUCCACAUCUCAUUGAUAUGCCUAGUUAAUGUGAUCAUCUUCUCUUUUUUUGUCUUGCAACCUCCACCACACUCCACACAUAAUGCUAAAACCAUGGCUCACGCUCAUGUAUUGCGAGAGAGUUGAAAAGGUUUGAGAAAGUAAAGGUGUGAAACAAUUACUUGGCCAAUACCGGGGUUGUGCAUGAUUUAAAUUCGUUGUGCAAUGAUGAUAGAGCAUAGCCAGACUAUAUGCUUUUGUAGGGAUAACAUUCUUUUAGCCUUGUUAUUUUGAAAGUUCAUGAUUACCUUGCUAGUUUGCUUGAAUUAUUAUUGUUUCCACGUCAAUAGCAAACUAUUGUUUGAAUCUAAUGGAUCUGAACAUUCACGUCACAUAAGAGGAGUUACAAAGGACAUCUAUGCUAGGUAGCAUGAAAGCAUCAAAAAUUCAUUCUUUAUCACUUCCCUACUCGAGGACGAGCAGGAGUUAAGCUUGGGGAUGCUUGAUACGUCUCAAACGUAUCUAUAAUUUUUGAUGGUUUCAUGCUGUUAUCUUGUCAUCUUUGGAUGUUUUAUGUACCUUUUAUAUCUUUUUUGGGAAUAACUUAUUAAUUCAGUGUCAAGUGUCAGUUCCUGUUUUUUAUGUGUUUUUGGCUCUUUUCACAUUUGAUUUUGGAAUGGAGUCCAAACAGAAUAAAAUCCCCAAAAUAAAUUUUUCCCGAACGGAAGAAGAUCAGGGGGCUUGAGGGCCAAGCCAGGAGGGCUACAGGGGGCCCACCAGCCCCCCAUCCGCCACUAGGGGGACGGCGGAUGGCAGGCUUGUGGCCUCCCUGGCGCCCCCCUGACCUAGAUCCUUCGCCUAUAUAUUCCCUAAAAUACAGAAAAAAAUCAAGGGAUCCACGAAUAUACUUUUCCGCCGUCGCAAGCUUCCGUUUCCGCGAGAUCUCAUGUGGAGACCCUUCCCGGUGCCCUGCCGGAGGGGACUUUGGAGUUGGAGGGCUUCUACAUCAACAUCAUCACCCCUCCAAUGACUCGUGAGUAGUUCACUUCAGACCUACGGGUCCGUAGUUAGUAGCUAGAUGGCUUCUUCUCUCUCUUGGAUCUUCAAUACAAAGUUCUCCAUGAUCUUCAUGGAGAUCUAUCCGAUGUAAUCCUCUUUGGCGGUGUGUUUGUCGAGAUCCGAUGAAUUGUAGAUUUGUGAUCAGAUUGUCUAUCAUAUAUAUUUGAGUCUUUGCAGAUUUCUUAUAUGCAUGAUUUGAUAUCCUUGUAAGUCUCUCCGAGUCUUGGGUUUGUUUGGCCAACUAGAUCUAUGAUUCUUGCAAUGGGAGAAGUGCUUGGUUUUGGGUUCUUACCGUGUGGUGACCUUUCCCAGUGACAGUAGGGGCAGCAAGGCACACAUCGUGUAGUUUCCAUCAAGGGUAAGAAGGUGGGCUUUGUCGUAGAUAUGAGAUUGUCCAUCUACAUCAUGUCAUCUUGCUUAAGGAGUUACUCUAUUCUUUACGACUUAAUACACUAUAUGCAUGCUGGAUAGCGGUCGACGUGUGGAGUAAUAGUAGUAGAUGCAGAAAGUAUCGGUCUACUUGUUUUGGACGUGAUGCCUAUAGAUAUAAUCAUUGUCAUAGAUGACGUCAUGACUUUGCGCGGUUCUAUCAAUUGCUCGAUAGUAAUUUGUUCACCCACCGUCUACUUGCUUUCAUGAGAGAAGCCACUAGUAAACACUACGGCCCCGGGGUCUAUUCACACCUACCGUUUCCACUUUUGCUUUUACUUUGCUUUGUUACUUUGUUGCUUUCAGUUCUCACUUGGCGAACAAUCUAUAAGGGAUUGACAACCCCUUCAUAGCGUUGGGACCAAGCUUUUUGUGUUUGUCCAGGCACUUGAGAUACUCCUUCACUGGAUCGAUACCUUGGUUCUCAAACUGAGGGAAAUACUUACCACCGCUGCCCUACAUCACCCUUUCCGCUUCGAGGGAAGACCAAUGCAAGGCUCCAAGGCCACGGGGAAAAUCAUUUGCAUAUUUGCCUAGGAAGUCCCUUAAGGCGUAGCCGUAGCAGAAGAAUUUCUGGCGCCGUUGCCAGGGAGGAGCACGUCAAGAUAAUUUCCCGACGACGUGCCUAUUUCUGGCGCCGUUGGAAGGUCUUUUGUUGCAGUAGCACUGUCGACCGCUUGUUGUUGCGGCUGCUCUACUGCUUGUUGUGCCGCCGAUGCCGAGCUAGUUGUUUGCGUGCAAGUGCUAUUGCUUGCCGAGGCUGCUGCUGGCCGAUGCAUGCCGCCGCAGUUGCUCUUGCUGCCAAGCCGUUGCUUGCUUGCGCCGCUGCCGUUGUGUGUUGUGUCAUAGUUGUUGCUUGCAUUUUUGCAUGCUGGCUGCUUGCUGCGCUUCGUGCUAGCCUGCUAGAUAGUUGCUAGUUGUUGUGCUAGGUAGCUGCAGGAUGUUGUUUUCUAGUUGAGGUAGGAUGCUUGUUGUUGUUAGUUGUUGUGUUAGUUGUAGCUGCUAGUUGUGUUUGCUCCUAGCUGUUGCUGAUGCGUGCCGCAAGAGCAUGCUAGGUUUCUAGCUGAGGCAUGCUAGUUGCUAGAUAUUAGUUGCUGCCGCUUGUAGCCGUGGCCUCCGCUCGCAUUUGCUCGUGCUACCGCCUGCGUCGCCGCGUGCGCCGUUCCCCUCCGUCGUGGAACCGACAAGAUCGUCGUGCACCACUACGUCCUCGACGACCCCCGGACCUGUGUUCGACUCCCGACGCCGAAGACACGUGCACCAACGCCAAGCGAACGACUACCAUCGACGAGACCUGAGAACCACAACGAUCCUUGUUCUCCUUCACCGCUACGAACCGAACCCCUCCGAUUCGCACGCCUCGAAGGUAUACCGAUGGGACGUUGUCGUGAAACGAAUGCAUAUGAUGUAUGAGAUGUAUCGUAUGUUUGCGUCGUAUGUUUGCCCGUUGCACGUUGUAUCUCUAUCGUCGCGCACUCGACACAUGGGAACCCGGUAGCGGGAUCACCCCAUCUUUAUUUAGCGUUCCCGCACACGCUCCCUAUUCGUUGGCACGUUAUCUCGAUGAGUUAUCGGGAUAGGAACGUUGCCGUGGCUUCGUUUCCGUCUUGCCGCCUUAGUACCCCUUUCGCUCGCCGUUGCGACACAUGCUUAUUUUCCCUUCUUGCCGUGAUGUUAUGAACUUGCAUGCAUGUCACAUUCUUGGCAUAAUAUCGUGUGUGCACGUCUCUUGUAACCAUGGAUCCGUUCUAUGCUCCAUGUGUUAACCGACUAGGAUGACAUGUAGGAUCAUCGCUUCACCCCUUGCCAUGUUAACAACAAUUAAAUAUUGCCGUGUUACUAAUCGGGAGUGAAUUAAAUAAUUAAUCGUGGAGUUUCGUCGAUAUGCAACUUGUUGCAUAUCGAGCUUCACUUAAUGUGUAGAGUUUGCGUGAGGUGAAUUGCCAUGCCAUCCCUUGCAUCAUUGAACUGAUCAUGCAUCAUGUUGUGCAUCGUGUGGUGAAUAUUUGUAUUUAUGUUUGUUUCCGGUUUGCUCCGUCUCGAUAGAGUUCCGCAAGCGUGUCGGAAUGUGAGGACCCGUUCGACUACGUUGGUUCGUCUGCUUCACCGAGUUGUUCUUCUUCCAAGCGGGAUCUCAGGCAAGAUGACCAUUUCCCCAGAUACCAUUACUAUCAUUGCCAUGCUAGUUUUAUCGUCUCUACCGUUUAAGUCUCGUUUCCUACCACAUGUUAUAUAUGAGCCUCUAAACAAUGCCAUGAAACCUUGAACCUGUUCGACCUAGCAAACCACUGAUUGGCUAUGUUACUGCUUGCUUAACCUUAUUGUUAGCGUUGCUAGUUGUAGGUGCAGUUGCUUCCAUGUGAUAACAUGGGUUCCUUAUUAUAUCACCAUAUUAAAUGCUAUUUAAUUUAAUGCACCUAUAUACUUGGUAAAAGGUGGAAGGCUCGGCCUUUCUAGCCUGGUGUUUUGUUCCCCCUUUGCCCCCUUAGUUUCGGCUACCGGUGUUAUGUUCCAUACUUGAGAGCUCCUAACAUGAUCGGGGUUGUUAUGGGGACCCCCUUGAUAAUUCGUUUUAGAUUAAAGCUGGUCUGGCAAGGCCCAACUUUGGUACUACAUUUGCCUAACAACUAAUGAACUGCAUAUGGAGUAAUUAACCCGAGGAAAUUUAAUCAACCCCCGUGCCAGUGGUCCUCAUGAGUGUUGGUCCAAAAUGGACAGACUGCGGGGCCACCACGGGGCAACUCGAGGUUUGGUACCUAUAGGCUUUUCCAUCUGUCGUGUCCUGAGAACGAGAUACGCGGCUCCUAUCGGGAUCGUCAACACGUCGGGCGGCCUUGCUGGAUUAGUUUUACCUUUGACGGAAUAUCUUGUGCAUCGGGAUUCCGGUGAUGCUUUGGGUAAUCUCAGAGUUGAGGUUUUCCACUAGGGAAUCCGACGAUAUUCGCGAGCUUCGUGAUUGAGGAUUUCUAUGCGGCUUGUGGUAAUUUGUGAUGGACUAAUUGGAGCACCCCUGUAGGGUUAAAUCUUUGCGGAAAGCCGUGCCCGCGGUUAUGUGGCAACGUGGAAACUUUGUUUAACACUGGUUCUAGAUAACUUGAAAUUAACUUAAUUAAAAUAUGUCAACUGUGUGCAUAACCGUGACUGCCUCCUUCGUGAGUUCCUUCUCCGAUCGAGGACAUGGUGGGGUUAUGUCUGACGUAGGUAGGUGUUCAGGAUCAUUCAUUUGAUCAUCAGUAGUUCACGUCCGUUAUGCGUAGAUCUUCCCCCUCUUAUUUCUUGUACUCGUAAGUUAGCCACCAUAUAUUUAUUCUUAGCCGCUGAUGCAACCUCACCACUUAACCAUGCCUCACCCAUUAAGCUUUGCUAGUCUUGAUACCUUUGGAAAUGAGAUUGUUGAGUCCUGUGUGGCUCACAGAUUACUACAACACCAGUUGCAGGUACACGUAAAGGUUACUCGAUGCGAGCGCGUUGAUUGUUCAUUUGGAGUUGCUUCUUCUUCUUCUUUUCUUCUUCUUCAUCGAUCUAGGAUGGGUUCCAGGCUGGCAGCCUGGGAUAGCAAGGAUGGACGUCAUUCUUAUUUUCUCGUUUGAUUUCGUCCGUAGUUGGACCCUCUCUUACUCUUGAUGAUUAUGUAAUGUACUAAUGUGACUCUGAUGUAGCUUGUGGCGAGUGUAAGCCAAUUCUUUAUAUAUAUAUAUAUCUUCUUUUCAGUACAUGUACUUGUAAUGAUUUCCAUUCUUGCGACAUGACGAGAUGCGCUUCUAUCCGUGAUGAGGCCCCCGUGCCAAAUUGAGGAUAGGGUCGCAUCUUGGGCGUGACAGGUCCCCCCCCCCCCCCCCCGCUUGGGGGCUCCGGUCAAAGUAUGUCCAUGCAGAUACGCAACCUCGCUCCCAAAGAAGAAGAAGUCGACAGGGUUUGCCAAUGACCCAAACCAAGUCAACUCAGUCCACCGAUGACUCGGGGGUAGGGACACUCAUGAGGCCAUAGCGUCCUCGCGACCUCCCAUAUACACCCCACCGUGACACUCUCACGUAAUAACGAGCCGAGGCUGUAUACACCGAGGGCCCCCCGAAGACGCGGAGGGGUCCAUCCCACACCAAGGGCAGCCCUAUACUUCGCGCUGGGGAGAAGAUUAGGUCCCAAUGCCUCGGGGGUAGGGACACUCGCGAGGCCAAAGCAUCCUCGCGACCUCCCAGAUACACCCCCACCGUGAAACUCUCAUGUAAUAACGAGCCGAGGCUAUAUACGCCCAGGGCCCCCCGAGGACGCGGAGGGGUCCAUCCCAUGCCUAGUGGAAGACCUAUGCUCCGUGCUGGGUACAGAUAGGGGCAAUCAACAUAGUCCGCCAAUGACUAUGCCCUCACCUAGCACCAAUGCAGUCCAGCAAUGACUACGCCCCCAGCUGACACCAACACAACCCGUCAGUGGCUACACCCUCGGCCGGAAAGGAGAUCAACGCAGUCCACCCACGACUUCGCCCAUACCCAGCGUAUGGGGAAAACAGCUGAAGGUACGGAGUCACUCGCACGUCAAGGGGGACCCCUGAGCAUCGUGACUCAGGGGGCUAACUGUGCCCGUAGCCCCUUCCUCCUUUGGGCCGUCCUUGGACGGUUCAAUCGCGGGAAGGUAUGCGCGGGGCGGGCCCUGCCGACGCAGAGCCGAGUCCGCUCGGCAAAUAGCGUCGGAUCCCUUAGGAAGAACGUUGGAGUCACUCGCUCGGCAAAUAGCGUCGGAUCCCUUAGGAAGAACGUUGGAGUCACUCGCUCGGCAAAUAGCGUCGGAUCCCUUAGGAAGAACGUUGGAGUCACUCGCUCGGCAAAUAGCGUCGGAUCCCUUAGGAAGAACGUUGGAGUCACUCGUACGUCAAGCGGGACUCCUGAGCAUCAUGACUCAAGAGCCUGAACUGUGCCUGUAGCCCCUUUCCCUUUUGAGCCGUCCUUUUCCGGUCGGUUCAACCACGGGGAGGUACGUGCGGGGCGGGCCGUGCAGACGCAGAGUGGUGAAGGAGUUCAAGAGUCUUAUAUCAUCGGUUUCUUAGGAGGAGCAUCAGAGUCGCUCGCACGUCAAGGGGGACCCCUGAGCAUUGCGACUCAGGGGCCUAAUUGCGCUCGUAGCCCUCCCCCCUUUGGGCCGUCCUUGGUUUCCGGUUGGUUCAAUCGCAGGGAGGUACGCGCGGGGCGGGCCCUGUCAACGCGGAGUGUUGAAGGUGUUCCAAGUUUCGGAAUCUUCGCCAUGUUCUCCUAAUGAGGGCAGCUCGCGCGUCAAGGGGGACUCGUGAGCAUCGUGACUCAGGAGCUUAACUGCACUCGUAGCCCCUUCCCCCUUUGGGCCGUCCUUGGUUUCCGGUCAGUUCAAUCGUGGGAAGGUACGCGUGAGGCGGGCCCUGCCGACGCAGAGUAACAUAGCAAACAUGACGGGAACAAGGCGGGGAAAACAUUCAAGCAUUCAAUUAUUACAGACCAUGACCCAGUACGCAAAUAAGUUUAACUCCUCCACGAGGCACGAUGUGCAUUGCAGGAAGAUAACAGGUGUAAGGGAUCAGGAGGAGGCGUCGCCGGUCACCCCCUCCACAGGGGGCUGGUCGUCGAUGUCAGAGGCAUCGUCUUCCCCAUCAUCGGCUCCAGCGGUACCUGGAGACAAAGGGGGCGCGACGCGAGCAAACCUCCUCACCAACGCCUCCACAAGACCUUUCACCACCUCUGCGGCGUGGUCGUGGGCCUCGGCAGGGACCAACAUGAUCACGAAGCUCAGAUCAAACUCGGGGUCGCAAAGACGAAGGUGACUAAAGACGCGAGUUGCAGACGUGAAGAAGAGGUCGCGACACUCGUUGUCCAAGAUCUUGUCCAUCUGCGUGACGGCAGCCUCCAACGUCGCGACGAGCCCCUUCACGAGCGAGGCAAAGCCAUCCUCCGGGGUGGCCAGAGGCUCGUCAAACUCGUCCCGACAGAGGGAGCGGAGCGCGUUGCGAAGCCCGAGCUCGACGUCAGGGAAGCAAGCCAUCUCGGCGGCCUUUCUUUUUCGCGGCGAGGGCUUUUUCCUCGACCUCAAAGAGAGCCUUCCUCAUGGUGACAUCCUUCUCCCGCUCCUCCAAGUGCACCUGUUCCGUGUCGAGGCGACUCGCCUUCCGGGAUAAUUCUUCCCCCGGGCGGCAAGCUUGGUCUCGUGAGCCUUAAGUUCCUCCUCCUGCGAGCGGUGUUGCCCGACCAGCUCAACAUGUUCCCCUUGGAGGGCGUUCACGCGGGCUUCCACCUCUUCACAGCGCUCGACAGCCGCCUUGGACUCCUUCAGAGCCCACUCAUGCGUGGCGCGGGCGGCCACGGCCUCUUCCUCGACCUUCCUCAUCUCAGUUGUGACAUCACUCAGCGCGGUGAAGGCCGCAUCCAGUAUGCUAAUACAUCCCAAACGUAUCUAUAAUUUCUGCUUCCUCCAUGCAAGUUUUGGGUGAUAUCGCUAUGUGUUUUGUACACUUUCAUACCUUUUCAACAUAUUUUGACUAACCUACUAACACAGUGCACCCAGUGUCAGUUUUUGUCUACUGAUGUCUGUGAAUUGCAGGUUUAUACCCAUAUUUACAGUGCCCGAAAAAAUCCACAGAAAAUAUAUAAAAAAAUCAUCAUUCCAGAAGACUCCAGACGCCCGAAGGAGAGCCAAAGGGGGGCCACCCUCAUCGAGACGGCCACCUGGUGUGACCUAGGGGGAGGUCGUGCCACCACGCCGCCUGGGCGAGUGGGACCUCCACUGGUGCCCCCCUUUGGCCCUAUUUUUACCCCCGUGGAGGAAACCCUGAUUCGAGAACCCUUUUCUCCAUAAGCAAUUCCGAUCUUCGCCGCCAUCGCCAACAAGUUUCAGGGAACCAGAAUUCCUGUGCCGCCACCCUGCCGGGACGGGGAAGGGCCCCCGAAUUCAUCUCCAUCGAAAUUGCUUACUCCCUCCAUGAAGCGGGAGUAGUUCCUCCUCGGGGCUGAGGUCUUCUACAUUAGCUAUGUGGUUAAUUCUCUCUCCCAUGAUGUGAUCUUGAUUGUGAUCAUAGGCUAUGUUAAUCUAGGGUGAUCCCAUGAUGUUCCCCCUUCUUCUAUGUAUUGGAUUGAUGUACUCACUUGAUCUUAUCUAGUAUAAUCUCCGAGACCAUGGUGACAACGGUCUAUUGGACAUGGAUUAGAAGAAUAUUUUCAUGAGUGAUUUCCUCUUUUGUGAAUUGAUUGAAGAUUGAGAGUCUCUUGGUGCUUGUGUUUGACUGUCCUCGAGAUAUGUUGUGGUGAUUGUGGUACACUAUUUGGAUGGCCGCGGUGACAUUGGGAAAUCCAUAGAUGAGAACUACGAACUCUGGGGUGUGCUUUUAUAGCCCUACAUAAUUCUCGUCCUCCCUUUAUCACAAAGAAAUAACCUCCGAGUACGUCUCCAUUGCAUGUUUUAGUGGAAAUAUCAUGUGAUUAGACUAUGUUAAUGUUGUUGGGAGUUGCCACUAGUGAAAGUAUGAAGCCUAGGCCUUGUUUCUCACCAUUGUUACAUCGUUUGUGCUACUUUUGUCACUUGCUACCUUGCUGUAAUUUUUUAUUACAGAUUUAUAUUACCUUGCUUUGCCACACAUAUCACCCAUAUUUUACCAUCUCUUCGCUGAACUAGUGCACCUAUACAAUUUACCAUUGUAUUAGGUGUGUUGGGGACACAAGAGACUUCUUGUUUCUUAAUUGCAGGGUUGCUUGAGAGAAACCAUCUUCAACCUCUAUUUCCCUGUGGCACCCCGGCUCACAGGAAACCGGAACGCCCCGUAUUCCAACCCAGUGACAAGUCUGUGGAAUACGGCACCGUUGGCAUAGAACAAAUCAGCUCUUUAUUACUAUGGAAAAGGUAACAAGGUUACUUGGAUUACAUCGCCAGGGCGAUACUACACCUGCCUAGGGUAAAUUCUACGCUAGCAGCGGAACAACGACGGAAGUGAUGAACUCCACUUCGAGGGACUCUGGCUGGAACGCGUAUCCUAGAUCGCAAACUCGGGAUCCUCAGCAAGCAAGCAAUCAUGGCAUGACCUGCAAACUGGCAUGACACGCCAGGUGAGUACUUUGAAUGUACUCGCAAGCUCACAACAAACAUCAGCAUUAAGGCAAGACAACAUCAUAGCAAUCAAGAUUAGGUAAAGAUUUAUUAUCACCAAAGGUAUAGUUGAAAAUAACUAUACCAGGCUACUCUCACCGUACUCUGGUGACCAAUCUGUGAUCUCAGCAAGAACCUUCGGCGAAUAUCCUCAAGACGGACACCAAGACUUGUCAUCGGCAUGAUGCCCAACUACUACCAUACUCAGACGAGUUCUUCCAUCAUUAUUAUCAUUAUCAUGGUUAUGGUUGACCACCUACUGAGGUCUGGACGGGUUAUCCAAUACGAUGGACGCGGCUAUUAGAAUAGAUUUGACACUCUACAGAGGUUGCACACUUUACCCACAUCAUGGAGCACUAACCUCGUGAUCCCAUUCGGGUGGACCAGUAUUGCUCCAACGAAACUUGUCUAACCCGUGACUCUCCCAUCGUAUCACCGGCAUUCAUCCUCCCCCGGAGUCCUACCCUGGGUGGACCCUGUGUCCUCAUGACACCUGCCACCAUCGUGGCCAAACUAAACUGUCCCAAACGGGGACGGGCCCAAACAACUCAACUGGGCUCACAAGGUUAUCGCCGGCCACCAGGCCAGGGUAGCGCGCGCAUAACCUUCCCUCUUUUCUGGUACCGAUAAAAGAACACGGAUCAAACCAAGUCAAGGUCAUCCCAUACCGGCAAAUGUGGCUGCAGGAUAAGCCCGGACAAGUGACUCUCGAUCAACCGACUAAGUAUCUUAUCCCCGAAUAACAUUUCUGUCAUAGCUAACACUCCGAUAUCAUAGUAAUCCACUAAUCAAUAAGGUCAAGCCACUGCUAUCGUUUCAUAUCCACAAACUGUCGGAUGAAACCCAAAGUAAUCAUAGACAGUAAUCUCCAACGUCAUGGCAUCAACUGGUGGGUGAAAUACUAGUUAUUAACAAUCUCGUACUCAAUAUGAUAGUCACCUAUUCAAGAGUUUAUUCAAACAUUGCAUAAUCUAAUCCAUACUAUAAAUAUACUUGCGACUAAAGUACUUGGUUAAACUAUGAUAUUGCAAUGUAAUUAUGAAAGUGAGAGUUUUGGCUUGCCUGGGAUGAGGGAUCCACCGGGAAGAAGUGCGAGAAGCUCGCGGAAGGAAUCGCCGGAAACAGUUCUCUCUCGGAGGAGGGGCUGUUUACGGCAACGGCAAACUGGUCAUUUCCACUGAGUGAACACAUAGUGAAAAUGAUACCAUCUUCACGGGCUCGACGAUACAAAGAUGUGGGCGUUGGAAUCACUAGAAUCAGAGUUAGGAUCGCAGAGAUAUGGACGUUUGAAGUCCAGGGACUAAUCUGUAAAACUUUUAUUCAUAGGCAGGCCCCUUGCCGAAAAAUAGAAAGCAUCUUCGGCUGAAAUACUCUUUCUAGGUGGGAAAACGGGGUAGCGCAAAAGGCGCCUCCACUUAUCCACGUGGCUGGCUCCACUCGCAGACGGUCGGGGCCCACGGUCCCUUCUCUCUCCUCCAUCUCCUUCUUCCUCAUCCCUCAUGUCUUUCCCCGAUGGAACAGAGAGGGGAGGCGAGACCGGCGUGCUCCGGCGACGGUUUCCGACGGCACGGGCCACCCUCGUGGUGCUCCGGCCAUGGGCAUGCUGAGGGCGGCCGAGCGCAUCCACCCCUGCAUCGGGGGGACCUCGGGGAGGACCGGAACGAGAGCCCCACUGGUCGAGGCGGAAUGCGGCGUCGAGCGCCGGUGUGCUCGCGGACAGAGGCCACCGGAGUAAGGGAGAGGGGCGGGGGCGGCCCUGGUACGAUGGUGUGUGUCUCUGGUGGAGGUGGAGAGAGGAGAGGGGCUCGGGGUCACCGGAAUUUGAGCCGAGGUAGGCGGCGGCUAUGGCGGCGAUUAGAGGGCAGGGGGCACUCCAGCGAUGGUUGGAUGGGUAGGGGAGGCGUAGGGGAGCGGGGUGGAGAGGAUGGUGAGGUCGAGGCACCUCGGGACGGCUUAAAUAGCCGGGACGGGGCAGGGCUCGGCCACAGCUUCGGCGACGCAUGCCGGAGCUUCGAGAAAGCUCAUGGAAGAGGGAAGAGGCAUCCAUAGAAGUCAGAGAGAUGCUAGGGAAGCUCUGGAGGACGCGGGGAGGGCUCGGGCGAGCUCAGGAAGGCUCGGGAGAGCUCGGGAAAAGAAGACGACAUGGCGGACACAGGCAGCACAGGACAGAGCUCGUCACGGCGCGGCGAGGAAGAAGCUGGAGGGGAAGACGGGUCCAGGGAGAAGAGGUCGACGAGGGGGAGCUGUUGGACACAACGAUGCGCGCGGAAACAACGAGGGCAGGAGGGCCCCGAGCUAGCAAACACGUUGCUCGCGUCCAUGGCAUGCUAGGGCGGUGGUCACCGCAUGGACGCGGCGAUGCCACGUACUCUAGUCGACCAAAUUGUGUCCAGAGGAUGGGUCAUUCAUCAUAGAAGAGCAAGGAAGAGAGAAACAAGCACAGGGACGAAAGAGGUGACUAGAGGGAGCUUGGAGCCAAAGCAACAACAAGAUGUUUAUACUCAGGUGGGGGAGAUCCAUCUUGGGAGAGGCUCUCGUUUUUAGUUGAGGGUGACCAAAUACUAGGAUGAUCAUCUCUGCAAAUUUUCAGCUCAUUUGAAUGAAUAUAAAUAUCACUUGCACUUCAAAGGGCUCUAUUGGAUAGAAUUGUAAAAUAUGAGGUAGAGCUCACAUACUUGCUUGGACUGAGCUGAAUUUUGGUGGAGGCUAGAUAUUUAGGCAUAUGAAGACACUGUAUAAAUUUCAUACCAUCUGGAUAAACCAAAGUGGUACUUUCUUCGCACAGUAUUCCUACUGGACAGAAUCUUAGGAGAAUUACUCGGGAAAUGGCUAAAUAAAAUGAGCUCAAAUUUGGUGGAGAGGUGUUUUAUAGGUAGGAGAAUGUCCUGGUAAAAUUUCAGAAAUUAUGGAACAACUUAAAGUACAGUUGCUUCACAAUCCAAAAUAAUGACCACAGACAAAGAUUUGAUGUUGUGCUCCCACAGUUGAUGAGGUGAUGCUCAAAUUUGGUGGAGAGUCAUGAUUUGAACAUGUUGAGAUGAUGGCAUAGUUUCAACUCAUUUUAUUAUUCUUAGCUAGCACUUGCUUCACAAAGCUUCGUGUGGAUCAGGAACUUUGGAAAUUUGCCAAGCAAUAUUUAAUAGCCAAAUGAGGUUGAAUUUUGGCAUGAGGAAAUGAUAUGGAUAGGAAAGAGUUCCCAAAAAAUUUGAGAGCAAGCAAGCAGAUAUAAAAGGUACUUGCUUCACAACUUGACAGAUAGGGCAGAAUCAGAAAAGGAGUAUUUGAGGGAUAUAUUGAACAUGUAAAGGAAGGACUUUGUCAUAUCCGAGGAAUAUAUGACCCAAAAAAUGUAUAAGAAUUAUUUGGGAAUUUUUGGAAUGAUAGAAAUGUGGGUUGCUUCACAACCCAAGGCAACAAGGUUAUUCCUUUAAUAGAAAAAGGAAUAUUCCCGGGAAAAGAUUACUAGGAUUGGAUCAAGAUGGAAAUGACAAGGUCUUGGGAUGGUUUGGAGGUUGGAAAGCCACUAGGGAAGAGGAAUUAAGGGUGAUCCUUUUAGGUUCGAGAACCAUCAAGGCAGAGAAAAGCAAAACUAGACCAAAAUCAGAAGAAAAAGAAAUGGGCAAAAUCUAGGGUGUUACAAACCUACCCCCUUAAAGAAAUCUCGUCCUCGAGAUUUGGUUGCUCAGGGGUUCAAUCAUGAAUAUCCCCACUUGAGGAAACUAUUUCCAACUCGGGUUUGCUUUUUGCCUUGGUAUGAUGCUCUGAUGUCCCACAAGUGUAUGGGAUCGCAGCAGUUUUCGAGGGUAGAGUAUUCAACCCAAAUUUAUUGAUUCGACUCAAGGGGAAGCGAAAGAAUAUUCUCAAGUAUUAGCAGUUGAGUUGUCAAUUCAAGCACACCUGAAAGAUUAGUGUAUGCAAGCAAAGUAUCAGUAGCAAGGUGGUAUGCUAGCAACGGUGCCAGAAAAAUCCUUGUUGACGGGAUGUUAGUGCCGCUUACCUAACCUCGGCAACAGCGCCAACAAAGUCUUGCAACAAGUAACAGCAGAGCAGUAAGGAACAGUAGUAGCAGCAGCAGCAAAGUAACAGCAGUAGCAACAGUAACAUCAAAGUGACAACAGUAGCAACAGUAGCAGCAAAGUGGCCCAAUCCCUUUUGUAGCAAGGGACAAGCCUAGACAAAGUAACGUAGCGAGGACCAGUAGUAAAAGACUCGUAGGCAGUGGAUCGGUGAUGGAUGAGUAUGACGGAUGUGAUUCAUCAUGUAACAGCUAUAACACGGAGAGAUAUGUAACUAGCUCCCGUUCGUCAAUCUAAUGUAGGCAUGUAUUCCGUAUGUACUCAUACGUGCUAAGGGAAAAGAACUUGCAAGAUACUAUGGUCAUCUCCGGGGGUGGUUCCGGCUAUUGUCACUCCGGGGUUGCCGGGUCAUAACACAUAGUAGGUGACUACAACUUGCAAGAUAGGAUCUAAAACACACAUAUAUUGGCGACAACAUAAUAGGUUCAGAUCUGAAAUCAUGGCACUAGGGCCCUAGUGACAAGCAUUAAGCAUAGCCAAGUAGUAGCAACAUUAAUCUAGAACAUAGUGGAUACUAGGGACCAAUCCCCGUCAAGAACUAACUCGAUUACAUGAUAGAUCUCAUCCAACUCAUCACCGUCCAGCAAGCCUAUGAUGAGAUUACUCACGAACAGUGAAGAGCGNNNNNNNNNNNNNNNNNNNNNNNAAGAGCGUCAUGUAAUUGUCGAUGGAGAAAGGUUGAUGAUGAGGAUGGCGACGAUUUCUCCUUUGUGGAGCCCGAAACGGACUCCAGAUCUGCCCUCCAGAUGAAGAACAGGAUGUGGCGGCGCCUCCGUAUUGCAAAACGCGAUGAAACCUUCUCUCUGAUUUUUUUCCAGGCGAAACGGAAGAUAUAGAGCUGAGAUUGGGGGCGGUGGUGCCACGUGGGCCCCACAAGCCUGCAUGGCGUGGCCAUAUGGGGGUGGCCGCGGCCUGUGGGCUUGUGGCCCACUAGCACGCCCCCUCCAGUAGAUCUUUGCGCAGGUAUUUUUCUUUUAUUCCAGAAAAAAUCUCCGUAAAUUUUCAGGACGUUCCGAGAACUUUCAUUUCUGCACAAAAACAACACCAUGGCAAUUCUGCUGAAAACAGCGUCAGUCCGGGUUAGUUCCAUUCAAAUCAUGCAAAUUAGAGUCCAAAACAAUGGCAAAAGAGUUCGGAAAAGUAGAUACAACGGAGAUGUAUCAUGCUCCUGUUGGGUUAUCUGGCUCACUGCAUGGCUUCGAGGUGGUUUGUUUCACUGGAUCCUCGUAUCUUAUUCUGACUUCCAUCCGUUUAUGUCUGCUGACUUGACUGACAGAGGUCCUCGUAGAAAGAUCUUGUUCACGGCAGGAUAUCCUUUGACUGAUUCCCAUAUGUGAGGACGCAUGCUGCGAGGUUGUUGUCCAACAUUCUGGUCGUUUCGUCUGUCGACACCUUUAAAUGAACAGUAGGUCGUGUAAUGCUUUAACACUAUUUUUGCAAUCGAACUGCUGAGUCGUCCUCACAGAUUUGAACAUCCCCUUCUAACGAUUCUGAGCAUAUCUGGUUGGGUUGACUCGAUAUAGGGUCCUUGCAAAUGGAAUAGACCUCACGGGGUGUGUACCCACGGUGAUUUGUAUCGAACCACACUGUCUUGAAUAUAUGCACCAUGUUGAUCUUGCAACCAUUAUCAUACAUCUAUGGCCAAUCUUGCUCAUUUAUUAUGGUUCUCUUUGCCUAGAUCCUUAGAUGAAAGAGCUUGGCCUCAUGCGUUCUUGAUUCUUCGGAUGACCAUGAGUGCUGCCAGGUACAAUAUUCCGGCACGCAUAUUAAUUAACUAGUUAUAGCUGCAUGGUGACGACCGUCGGAACCCUUGGAUAAAACCGAGAAAUAAACCAGUAGCCACCAGAACAGUCUUUACAACUCAGAUCUGGACAUCACUGGAGUAACUCAACCCCGACUCAAUACGGCUGAAAAGCAGCUCAGAGCAUGAGACGGUGUUGAUAAGAAGAAAGUAGCAGUUCCCUAAGACGACCGAGAAAUAGCUCAGAGCAUAGGGUCACUUCUACGGAAAGAAAUUCAGCAGCUCCCCGAGACGGCCGAAAAGCAGCUCAGUACACGGGCCAGUUGCUGACAAGGGAAAUAAAAGUCGGCAUCCACCCCAGAUGGCCGAAAACAGCUCAGAACACAGGCGUGGUGCCGUCACCAAAGAAAGACGGGCAAGGGUUCAUCCGUGUCCCAUAUAGCUUAUCCAUAGGUUGUUGGUCAUCUCACUGAAGUGUAUAAUUGGCAUUCUUCUUCUUCUUAUAUAGCUCAUGCAUUAGUCGGAUUCUCACCGGGCUGGCAUCAUUGUAUGAUUAACUCAUAUGGCCUUGGCAACCUGUCCAUCAUAUAUAUUGGGUCUAUGCGGCUGAGCGCUUGAUUCCUGAAGUGGGCUUGCGUCCUGACUGAUUUUAUGCCUUCUGACCAACUGUUGGGGAGCGGACCCUUGAGAUGCAUGAUCAUAUGAUGCCAGUUUUUGGUGGAAUAGCUUGUACUAGUGAGAGUGCAAUGCCUUCCCGACAAAGGUUACUUAAAUUUUGUUGUAAGUCAUCAAGAGUAUCGUGUCAAGGAAGACUGGAUAACUUGUGCUCGAAGUUUUUGCCGAGGUAGCUUCCUGAAGAAGAUUGGGUACCGUAUCUCAAAUGUUUCCUCCCUUAAAGACUUGAUGGGUAAGACUCGGUACCUUAUGUCGGAAGCUUGUUGUGAUAACUUACUGGAGAAGCAUGGGUGUCUUGUAUGGGAAAAUAUUCGUGUGUCGUAUUGAGGAAGUCACAGGAACCUUAUGUCAUAAGUUGUUCUGGUAGGUUGCGGAGAAAGACUGGGUUGCUUAUACCUAAAGCUUUAUUUUUACCAUAUGCAAGCUAAGUGCAUAUAUAUAUAUAUCCCCUUAAUGUUCCUGAUGUCGGUUAGUUGUUGUAUGCAACAGGGUAUUCAACUAUCCUUCUUGCUGAACACUAAGUUCAUAGCACAUUCUGACUUCCUUCAGUAGUAUAGCAGGUUUCAAAUUGUAUUCAUAACAGACUCAACCGUGUAUAUGAAUCAUACCUUUGACUCGAAAGGUACACAUCCUUGCCUUCUUGCUGAUUCGAUGAUUGCUGUGGCGAAGGUUGCACUUAUGUAUACUUGAUGCUGAUAACUCGUCCCACCAAGAUAUCAUUUAUGUUCAAGCCUGAUAUUCCUGAUAUAAUGCAGCCUCCUGAAAAUUCUAUAUUGCUGAACUAAGCUUACAAAUGGCUCUGUCUUCACUGAUUCUUUGAGUCCAGUGUCGGUGAGCAACUUCCAUAAGGGGAAAAUAAGGUAACACCAAGGGCCCAAAGAAAGAAGCAAGAGAAAAGACUAACACACACAAAGCAGCAAGAUCACCAGUAAUAGCACAUACUCUACAACUAUUCACAACAAUGAUAUGCAUUCCUACUUAAGCAGACAAAUCUCACAAGAACUCUGGUACUACGGUCUAACAUGCUAUGGCAGUGUGCACGAAAAUGAAUCAAUGUGUGGAAGAAAGCUGACGAGGACGAACUUGGUGAUCGUGGGUCGGAACACAGGGGUCUCGACCACGUCAUCAUCAAGCGUACAGAAGAAAACCGUACUCGUCGAGAGGAUGGAUGGCAGGGUGGGAUAACGAUGAACAGAAGGCUUGCGGGCAUUGCCCCUUUUCUGAUAAGCAAGAUCAGUAAGGGUUGCCAACGUGGCUAGAGGGGUGGACAAGAUCCCGGAUAGAAACAUAUCUAUCACCGAGACAAUAGGGUGGCUGAAGAGAAUACAUUGGUGUGGUACCGGUGCAUUAAUCCAACAAGGGAUCGACACAACCAGUCACCUUUGCACCACUCCGCUCGGGCAAAGAUGACAUCACACCAAGGAGCAAAUAUGAAACUAGCGGGUAGAGGUGGUGCAUCGAGACUCAUGCCACCUGCACUCAUCAUAUCAAUCAUUAGUGAUAAAAUAUCUAGUCUACAUGCAUGUUAUGCACAAACAAAUGCAAUGAACAAGUGUAGCAAUCCAACUACAUCAUAUACUAUCGGUUAUUAACGCUCGCGCGGUCUAGGGCGUCCUACAGCCACACCUGCUCUGAUACCAACGCUUGUGGCACCUUGGCUCAGAGGAAACUGGAACGCCUCGUAUUCCAGCCCAGGGACAAGUCUCUGGAAUACGACAUCAUUGGCAUAGAACAAAUCAGCUCUUUAUUACUAUGGAAAAGGUUACAGGGGUACUUGGAUUACAUCGCCACGGCGAUACUACACCUGCCUAUGGUAAAUUCUACGCUAGCAGCGGAACAACGACGGAAGUGAUGAAAUCCACUCCGCAGGGACUCUGGCUGGAACGCGUAUCCUAGAUUGUAAACUCGGGAUCCUCAGCAAGCAAGCAAUCAUGGCAAGACCUGCAAACUGGCAUGACACGCCAGGUGGGUACUUUGAAUGUACUCGCAAGCUCACAACAAACAUCAACAUCAAGGCAAGACAACAUCAUAGCAAUCAAAAUUAGGUAAAGAUUUAUCAUCACCGAAGGGAUAGUUGAAAAUAACUAUGCGAGGCUACUCUCACCGUACCGUGGUGACCAAUCUGUGAUCUCACCAAGAACCUUCACGAAUAUCCUCAAGACGGACACCAAGACUUGUCACUGGCAUGAUGCCCAACUGCUACCAUACUGAGACGAGUUCUUCCAUCAUUAUUAUCAUUGUCAUGGUUAUGGUUGACCACGUACUAAGGUCUGGACGGGCUCUCCAAUAUCGUGGACGCGGCUAUUCGAAUAGAUUUUACACUCUGCAGAGGUUGCACACUUUACCCACAUCAUGGAGUACUAACCUCGUGAUCCCAUUCGGGUGGACCAGUAUUGCUCCAAUGAAACUUGUCUCACCCGUGACUCUCCCAUCAUACCACCGGCAUUCAUCCUCCCCCGGAGUCCUGCCCUGGGUGGCCCCCUCUCUCCUCAUGACACCUGCCACCGUCGUGGCCAAACUAAACUGUCCCAAACGGAGACGGGCCCAAACAACUCAACUGGGCUCACAAGGUUAUCGCCGCCCACCGGGCUAGGGUAGCGCGCGCGCAUAACCUUCCCUAUUUGGUGGUACCGAUAAAAGAACACGCGAUUAGACCAAGUCAAGGCCGUCCCAUACCGGCAAAUGUGACUGCAGGAUAAGCCCGGUCAGGUGACUCUCGAUCAACCGACUAAGUAUCUUCUCCCCGAAUAAUAUUUUUGUCAUAGCUGAAACUCCGAUAUCAUAGUAAUCCACUAAUCAAUAAGCUCAAGCCACUGCUAUCGAUUCAUAUCCACAAACUGCAGGAUAAAACCCAAAGUAAUCAUAGACAUUAAUCUCCAACGUCAUGACAUCAACUGGUGGGUGAAAUACUAGUUAUUAACAAUCUCGUACUCAAUAUGACAGUCACCUAUUCAAGAGUUUAUUCAAACAGUGCAUAAUCUAAUCCAUACUAUAAAUAUACUUGCGACUAAAGUAAUUGGUUAAACUAUGAUAUUGCAAUGUAAUUAUGCAAGUGAGAGUUGUGGCUUGCCUGGGAUGAGGGAUCCACCGGGAAGAAGUGCGAGAAUCUCGCGGAAGGGAUCGCUAGAAAUAGUUCUCUCUCGGAGGAGGGGUUGUUUACGGCAAGGGAGAACUGGUCAUUUUCACUGUGUGAACACAGAGUGAAAAUGAUACCAACCUGACGGGCUCGACGAGACGAAGACGUGGGUUUGGAAUCACUGGAAUCGGAGUUAGAAUCGCGGAGAUAUGGAUGUUUGAAGUCCAGGGACUAAUCUGUAGAACUUUUAUUCACAGACAGGCCCCUGGUCGAAAAACAAAGAGUGUCUUUGUAAGUGCAUAUCAGGAGUGAUAAUGGAACCGAGUUCAAAAACACUGGUCUUGAUGAACUUGGUAUUACUCACGAAUUGUUUGCUCCUUAUACUCCUCAGCGGAAUGGUGUCGUCGAAAGGAAGAACAGGACUCUGGUUGAAAUGGCGAGAACUAUGCUUGAAGAAUAUCAGACUCCUCGUCGCUUUUGGCCUGAAGCAAUCAACACUCCAUGCCAUAUCAUCAACAGGGUAUAUCUUCACAAAUUCCUCAAGAAAACCUCAUGUGAACUCCUCACUGAUAAGAAACCCAAUGUAAGUUAUUUCAAAGUCUUCAGUGCAAAAUGCUGGAUUAGAGAUCCUCACCAUAGCUCAAAAUUUGCACCUAUGGCACAUGAAGGUUUUAUGCUCGGUUAUGAAAAGGACUCGCACACUUAUAGAGUCUUCGACAACUAUCACAACAAAGUUGUUGAGACUGUAGAUGUGCGGUUCGAUGAAACUAAUGGCUCGCAAAGAGAGCAAUUGCCUUCUGAUCUAGAUAAGCUGUCUCCUGAGGAAGCAAUAAAGCUUAAGCCUACUGAAGACAUUGUCCCCACUGAGGAAAUUGGUGAAGAAACGAUCCCCAUCGCUGAUAAAAACCAAGAAGAUGCUCCUGAGGAAAUUGCACCAGCACCACUUCCUCAGCCCAGACAAAAUCCUCAAUCAGCUCAUCCAAGGAUUGCAAACGAAGUAGAACUUGACAAAAUCCUCAACGACAUCAACGCGCCAGGUCCUCUCACUCGCUCAAAAGCUUCACACUUAGUUAACUUUUGUGGGCACUUUUCCUUUGUAUCCAUCACAGAACCCUCAAAAGUUGCCGAGGCUUUUCUGGAAUCGGAGUGGAUCCAAGCUAUGCAAGACGAACUUCUUCAAUUCAAGUUGAAUGAUGUAUGGGAGCUCAUCAAACGACCAGAUCCUCGCAAGCACAACAUCAUCGACACUAAGUGGAUUUUUCGAAACAAGCAAGAUGAGGACGGACAAGUGGUGAGGAACAAGGCACGACUUGUAGCCCAAGGCUACACCCAGGUUGAAGGAAUAGAUUUCGAUGAAACUUUUGCACGUGUUGCUAGACUUGAAGCUAUUCGAAUAUUACUUGCUUAUGCUAAUCAUCAUAACAUCACCUUAUAUCAAAUGGAUGUGAAAAGUGCAUUCCUCAAUGGUAAGCUUGAGGAAGAAGUAUAUGUUGCUCAGCCUCCAGGUUUUGAGGAUCCAAAGAAUCCAGACAAAGUCUUCAGACUCAAAAAGGCUCUGUAUGGCCUCAAGCAAGCCCCUCGGGCAUGGUAUGAUACAUUGAAGGAAUUCCUCAUGAAGAAAGGCUUCAAACCUGGUUCACUCAAUCCAACUCUUUUCACAAAAUCCUAUGAUAAUGAGCUGUUUGUAUGUCAAAUAUAUGUCGAUGAUAUCAUAUUUGGCUGUACUGACAAAAGAUACAGUGAUGAAUUUGCCUACAUGAUGAGUGAAGAAUAUCAGAUGUCCAUGAUGGGGGAGCUGAAAUUCUUCUUAGGUCUUCAAAUUCGUCAACAAAGCAAUGGAAUCUUCAUAUCACAGGAGAAAUACCUCAAGGAUGUUCUGAGGAAAUUCGACAUGCACGAAUGCAAAGGUGCCAAGACUCCAAUGCCUACCAACGGCCACCUCGGCACUCAUGAAAAUGGUAAAGAUUUCGAUCAGUAGGUAUAUCGUUCUGUGAUUGGCUCUUUAUUGUAUCUAUGUGCAUCUAGGCCAGAUAUAAUGCUUAGUGUUUGCAUGUGUGCACGUUUUCAAGCAAAACUGAAGGAAUCACACCAUAAGGCUGUGAAACAUAUUCUUCGAUACUUAGCUCACACACCAACACUAGGAUUAUGGUAUCCCAAGGGCUCAAAUCUUCAUCUGGUAGGGUAUUCUGAUUCUGACUAUGUUGGUGACCGUGUGGAUCGCAAGUCAAUGUCUGGCACAUGCCAUUUCCUCGGAAGAUCACUAGUUUGCUGGUCCUCAAAGAAGCAGAACUGCAUAUCACUCUCCACUGCCGAAGAUGAGUACAUUGUUGCUAGUUCUUGCUGUGCUCAAUUGCUAUGGAUGAAGCAAACCCUCAAAGACUACAGCAUCAGCAUGAAGAAUGUGCCUCUCCACUGUGACAAUGAAAGUGCUAUCAAGAUUUCAUACAACCCAGUACAACACUCGAAGACCAAGCACAUCCAGAUUCGUCAUCAUUUUCUUCGGGACCAUGUCCUCAAGGGCAAUAUCCUCAUCGACCAUGUGAAGACUGAUGAUCAACUGACAGAUAUCUUCACUAAGCCCUUGGAUGAGAAAAGGUUUUGCAAGUUGCGGUGUGAGCUAAAUAUCUUAGAAUCUUCAAAUGUUUUGUAAAAACAUGCACACAUCCUAACACUUAUGCAAAGUUGAUGACUUAGAUGUGCAACACAUGAUGAAUCGAUUUUGUUCAACUGAUGAAGAAUGUCACUCUGAAUGUGAAGAAAUUAACGAAGAAAUUGAUUCUCAGGGCCCUACGACAAUUGUACGCGGCGUCUGUAAUCAACAUUCUUAUAUGGUGGGUAACGCCACCGCCAAAUGUGAAAUUCCUGAAGUUGAUUUUCUUCAAAUGAUCAAUUUUCUCACAAUGCGUUUUUCUUCAAAACAGCUGUUCUUCAUUGUGAUGAUUUAUUACAAAAAUCUUCAAAGACACUUGAUGACUUUCAUUUGACUAGAUAAAUUGUGAUUUCUAGUUCUCAACUGCAUUCACUUAUUGUUAUUUCUUCAAGUUGAUGUUUCUGCUAAGUGAAUGUGAUCGGACCCUACUUUCCCUCUAUGCUAUACCUAUCCAGUCUAUUCAAUUCUUAAUAUGCGUUCUAUUUGAAACUUUGUUCAAAAUCCUCACUCCAUCCUUUUCAGCUGAUGAUUUUGUAACGAAAAUCCUCAAAUCUUCAAAAAUUGUUUUUAAAGGCACAGUAACUGAACCCUCACUUCCCACGAUCAGAUAACCACGAUCUCCACUAUCUCCACCGCAUCGUACGGGACCUACACGUGUCCUGCGAAGACGUAGAGGCAGGGGCUAUUUGGUCCGACAUUUUCGCGCCAACAGUAACUUUUGGCUAUAAAUAUGUCCUUAUCCCCCUCGGCAUCCUCUUCUUCGCCUCAUCGCUCUCCUGCCACAGCACACUCUGCCGAACCCUAGCGCCACCGCUGGUAGUCUCGUCGCCGGUGAGGAAGAGCUUCACUGCCUCGACUUCUUCGUCGCCAGAACCACGCCGGAGUCGGACCAUCUUCGUCCGCCGCCGCCGUAGACGUCCUCUGUCGCCGAGUUAGGGUGCAUUGGACACUCGAACGAAGAGCCUCUCCACACACAACUUUCUGUGUUCUUCGUGCACACCUUCCACGGUAAAUAUAUCCCAUUUUUACAGCAAGUUAGAUCAAAAAUUUUACAUCCACUAUGUGAAAUCUGUUUCUCCUCAAGAUACGAUGCGCACUUGAUUCCUCAAACACUACCUAUCACCACAAUCAUUGAUGAACUAUACUAAGCAUCUAAGAUUAUCACGAGAUUCCUCAAUUGUGCGAAUUUUCGGAUCUGUACAACUCUGGAACCCAAGAACAGUAUGCUUAGGCAAAUUCCUCAAUCACUGGUUAUAUUCCUCAAACUGUCAAACUUUUCCAUUUUCUUCAAAUCUGAGAACGCAUAUGACCUCUCCAAAUUCCUUGCAACCAUACUCUGUUCACAGGUACACACAUGUCAGCUGAUGAAUCUCUCGGUUCUCAUCACAUUAACUAAUUUGCAGGGUUUCUGGAAGAAACUCUUCAAGGCUCAUCAGAAUCCUCAAGAGUUCAAAAUCAUCAACAAAAUCCUCAACUAAGGAAAAUGGAGGAAGACAGAAAACACAAGGGAGGAAAGAAACUUGAGCAAAACACAACUGCUGAUAUCCCUAAGGACAUUUACUUGGACUAUUGUACGCCUGAUGAAAAUAAGACAAUGGCCAAGAGAAAGAUACGGCUGCAGAAGAUUGAACGCUGAUGGGCGAAGGAAUGGAAGGAGUACAGGUUUGUGACUCCUAAAUAUGCGAAGAAAUUCGCUUUGAAGCCUCCUGGCAGAAGGGCCCCACUUGAGGAUCAUCAAGUAGCACAUCCCUCAAGCCUCAAGACCAUUGAUGACUAUCCAGAUGAAAAGGAAAAGCAUCUGACCAAGCUCAAGAGGCAGGCAGAAGCUGCAAUGAGGAAAUUUAAUGAAUUCUCAGCUGCUGCCUCCGGUGCUGCUAAUUCCUCAGAUGCAGAAACCUCAGGCUCAGAAAUUCCUCAAAUGCAGUUUGUGCCGUCAAAGCCAAGGGCUCCAAAGCCUCACGAGAAGUCUGCUCAGGCUUCUGUCACAAAACCCUCAUUAUCAAAACCAUCAGCGCCAAAACCCUCAGUACCAAUCUCCUCAGCAUCAAAAACCUUAGCUCCACCUCCAAAGCCUCAAGAGAAAACAAUACAGAAGCAAGUCGUGAAGCCUACGACCGCCAGCUCCAGCUCCUCACUCCCAGCUGCAACUAGCUCGGAGACAAAGUCUUCAACUCCUCCUGUGAAGACUUUGGCAACUGCUGAACGUGCACCUCUGCCCAGCCCCAGCAAAAUCAUCGCAGUCCCGUCUGCAUCAGAGGGAAGUGAUGAAUAUGAUGAUGAAACCCUGCAAGCCAUCAUCAGAAACAAGCAAGAAAGAGUAGCUCAAGCAUCAGGCAGUGCUAUUCCUCUGGCCAUGGACCCCAAGGUCCUCCUUGACUACAUCAAUAUCUGGUAUGAGGACCCAAACACUCCUAUUGAUGAUUUGAAACUUCCCCCUGGCAUCAGCCACAUGGUGGCCACUUUCAUAAAUGAAGCCAAGUGGAAAGAACAGCAGGCCAGGCAGGCAAAGGUUGCAAAGAUCAAAAAGGAGAAAUUCCUCAGGCAGAAUCUCCUCAAACUGACUCCUGAUGCACUGGUGACAACACAGACAGAGCUGCAGAAAUUGACUGACAAGUACGCCAAGCUGUCAGAUCGCAAAAGCAUCAAGAGCAAUUUCAUCAAGCUGGCCACUAGUGAUGUUGAUGACUACAACAAGAGAACCGCACCCCCAGCACCAACUCCUCAGCCCUUGGUUGAGGAGCCAGCAGAUGCAUCUCCUCAUGAGGAGGAAACUCCUCAAGCUGAGGAAGUACACCAAGAGCGCCGUGUUGAUGAACCGGCCAUUGAAGAAAUCAUCACGGAAACUCCAACUGAUGAAAUUGCUGCCGCUGAUGAGACUGCUCCUGAUCCAGCUGCUUCAUCAAAGCAGGCUGAUGACUCUGUUCCAGCUGGUUCCUCACUACCAGCUGAAGAAACUGAAGAGAGAACACCUUCACCAAAAGCUUCAAAGGUGAAGAAGAUAAUUCCGUCUGCAUCAGACGUGAAGAAAACAAGGGCUCCUGAAAAGGAAGCCGGGAAGAGAAAAGCCUCCUCAGCAGUAGAAGAGACAGAGGCAAAGCGCCUCAAAGAAAUUGAAGAAACUGCUCCUCUGGACCCGGUGCCUCUCAAUGUCGCCCCUUCCUAUGAGAUGGUCAUCAUUGAUGACCCAGCUACGAAGGCAGAUGCGGAAAUGAAGGAUGUCGCCCCUGAGGAACACACUGAUGAGGAAAUUCAGAUUGACGAUAGUCCUCAACCUCUUAUUCCUCUGACAGAAACUGUUCAAGCAUCAGCUGCACCAGCUGAUGAAACUGCUUCUGCCACAAAGCCAGCUGAGGAAAAACAAGCUGAAAAUCCUCAUGCUGACGAAAUUCAACAUUCUGACAAUACUCCUCAAGACGAGGAACAGGCUGACCCAACUCCUCCAACUAAGAAAGAAGUAGAAAUUCCUCAGCCUGAAGCUCAGCCAGAGCAAGCAUCAUCUCCUCACCAUGAAGUACCAGCUGAUGAAAUUCCUCACCCUGAGGAAAAUGCUGAAGAAAAUGCACCCGCCCAAGACAAUGCAUUCAUUGUGCUUAACCCAGAGACUGCUAUGGUUGUCUCCCCCCUAUUCCUCAGCAAAAUCUUCAGUCAGUUCAACGUCAGCCGUUCUCCAAGCGUCCAAAGUUUCAGAAAGAAAAUUUCUUUGAAGAACGCAUGUACUUCAUUGAAGAGAACCCUUAUGACAGGCCUCAAAUGAGGCAUCUGAAGUUUUGGACAAGGACUCAGAUGAACUACUAUGCCUCUGUGCUCUGUGGACGCAACAAGAUAUUCCAGCACAGACAUAUUCCUCAUGUUGAGCUUGAAGCAAUACCUUGCAUGGAGCCAGUCCUCAGUGUACUCCACGAUGCAGGUUUGCUCCCAAUGUGCUCAAACAUAUCAGACUGGAACAGCGAGCUUAUUCUUCAGUUCUAUGCCACUCUUCACUUAUCUGGCAACCAUGAAGACAUCAACACUUGGGUGUUUGACUGGAUGUCACAAAACACUCACUACAGGGCUCCUGCUUCUGAACUCCUCAGAGAACUGCCCGUACCAAUUCCCUCAUAUGGGGCAGUGAAGCUUUAUGGUGAGCGUGAGCUGCCAAAUGGAAUGAUGGAAGUCCUCGUGAAGCCUUUGGCUGCAGGCAAAUCUUCAAGAACAACCUUCCUCGUCCACGAGCUGAAGUACACACCCCGGUCUGUCUACAGAAUCCUCUGCAAUGUGCUCGCACCGAUCAAAGGCCAUGACGAUGAAGAAGAUGUUGUAGGCCUCAUGAAGAAUAUCCUCUUCAACAUCAUUCACGGUAUUCCUAUCAAUAUCCAUGAUUUCUUCUUGAGGACUUUGGGCGAUAAUGCCAUGUGCCCCUUUGAUCACAAGAUAUAUGCCCCGUGGAUUAUGAGAUUCAUCAGGACAAGGACACGCAUCAACUUCCACGCUGAUUUCCAAAACCACAUGGGUUAUAUGCCUCCUAUCCGGGUCAACAAGAAGACUUUCGAGCCCAUUGAAGGAAAAGGAAAAUCUGUGAUUGAAGAAGGCAACAGGCCCCUUGAUGGCCAGUUCAAAGAGCCAGAAGCAUAUUCUUCAUGGGACGAUACUGAGACUCGUCCAGCAAGCCCAGUUCCUCCUCGCGUGCUGAAUACCAGAGAGCUCCUCACCAGAAGGUGGAUCGCAACCACAAAUGGGUCAAACGCCAGUUUGGUGCCAUUGUGAAAACCCUCACUGAAACACAGAACUCUGUGAAGAUUAACCAUCAUUAUCUGCAUGAGGUUUUCGAUCGCACCUGGGCUACACUUGCACAUCUGAAGACUCAGACUCAGCUUGAAGAAAUGAACUUUGAGCGAGACUUUGACUGGUCGUGGCCGCCCAAGAAGAAGUUCAGGCCCAUUCCAGUGCCAGACCUUGAAGACAGCUCCUUUUCUUCAUUCCGCACUGCUGAAUCUGAUGAAGAACAGAUCGACACUGCAACCGGCCCAAGGAAGAAGACUACUCCCAAGAAGCAUCACGGCUCUUCCUCAACCGCCAAGAAAUGAAGUCUUAACGGGCGUUAGUCCUCAGUUUGUCCCUUUUUGUCACUUGAUGACAAAGGGGGAGAAACUCGAGAGUUAGUCUUCAAACGGGAUAUUUUUGGGGCUUAUAAACUAUAUUUAAGUUACAAACUCUUGGCUCUUUUGAAGUUUUUAUGUAAUGAGUUGUAACUUAAGCCCGAUGGUACUCUGACGCCUUUGAACGUUUUUCUUUGCAUGCUUAUUCCUCAAGUUUUAAUACACGCAUGCUGGAAUUCGUCAGAUACCAUUUGCCAUCAUGCAUCUUCAUUUUCUUCAUAUGAUAUGUUAUAUGUAUGCAUGAUUUACAAGACUCAGGGGGAGAUCUCCAUGAUAUAAAUCAUCAAUGUGCAUUUGCUAUAAAAGCAAAAUCCUCAAGGUAUGCACAUCUUCAGGGGGAGUCUCUCUGAAUCUUGUUUUCAAAUUCCUCAAAUGAGUAUUUACACUUCAUACUUUUGAUCCCUAUUGAAGACUUAACCUAAUUGUCAUCAACCACCAAAAAGGGGGAGAUUGUAAGUGCAUCUAGUGCCCCUUAGAAUCGGAGUUAGAAUCGCAGAGAUAUGGAUGUUUGAAGUCCAGGGACUAAUCUGUAAAACUUUUAUUCACAGACAGGCCCCUGUCCGAAAAACAAAGAGUGUCUUUGUAAGUGCAUCUAGUGCCCCUUAGUGAUUUUGGUAGUUUGAAGACUUAUAGGUUAAGUAUCUAAUGUGUUUGUGAGUAUACACAGGAUCUAUAAGUCAUUGAGGAGUUUGAGAUAUUUGAAGAAUAUCGACCCCUAAAAAUACAUGUCUUCAGUUGAAGAAAUUGGUCUGAAGCUUAAGAAAUGAAUCGCAAGGAAUCUGCGAUGAAAUUGAUAUUCCUCAUGAAGAUACUGAUAUUGAGAAGUCCGGUGGUUUCUGAAGAAAAUCAUUCUGAAGAAUUUGAAGCAUGAAGACUUACACUUUCUGUUUUACUUUCUUCGCAUCUGAGUAAUAGGAACACCGUACUGUUAAAGGGGGUCAAAGUUACACUAUGGAAUGAAUUCCCUCAUGAUGCUCAACCCAAGCCUAAUCCUACCAAAAAGCCUCAAGUGAGGAAUAUGAGUGACAUGAGGACUCUCACAAUUGAGGGUUCCGACCGUUUUGAUAACCACGCCAAGUCAUUGGUCUUAUCCACUCCAACGGUCAUAUUAUUUAAGGGCAUUAGUGUCAAAUCAUGUCGGGAUGCUCCCAGGCUAUAAAUAGCCCCCCCCCACACAACCACUAGCUGGUUGGCUGCUCCGUUAGAAACUGACACUUGUCAUAAGAGCAACCCAAAUUCCUCAGAGCCUUCGAGAGUAAUUCAUCAGUGAGGAAAUACCCCAUACACCGAAACCACAAACCAAACCUAGUGAUUGAGCAUCACUGAAGAAGUUGUUCCUGUGUGGGACUGAAGCCUUUUACCUUUGAGGACUGUGCAUCCUCCAGACGGUUAGGCGUCAUGGUCUAGAGCAAUCCAGCAGUCAAUUGUGGAUCGCCGGGUGACCAAGUUUGUGAGGGUUUGGAAGUCUGCCCUGAAGACUUACCACGAGUGUUGGCCGAGGACUGUGUGUCCUUAGCUCAAGGAGAAUACGGUAGGGAUUGUGUGUCCCGGGACUGGGUGUCCUUUGGUUUCAAUACCAAGCCGCUCCAAACCAGAUGUACAACUGUCACAGAAGUUGGAACUGGGUCAUCAACAACUGUCUUCACUGAGAAAUGGGUUCUAAUUCCUCAACACUUUACUUUCCUUGUAUUGUGUGUUGAUCACUUUCACUGUGACUGUUUGAAGAAUUUGCUGAAGACUUUCUCUGAAUUUCCUCAACCCCAAAUUCUUCACAAUAGUUAAUCAUCAUUUGUAUUCUGCGUGCCUGCUUACUGUGCAAUCUGUUUUCACAUUCUUCACUCUGAAAUACUGCUGUUGUGAACGUUUGCACGUCUGAUCCUUUACUCUUUCCGCUGUAAGUUAGUCAUCACUGAGGAAUUUCCUCAAAAGGAAUUUCCUCAGUGAUGAAAUUCUAAAAAUCUCCUAUUCACCCCCUCUAGUCGAUAUAACGCACUUUCAGUCUUCGGCUGAAAUACGCUUUCUAGCUGGGAAACGGGAUAGCGUAGAAGGCGCCUCCACUUAUCCACGUGGCUGGCUCCACUCGCUGACAGUCGGGGCCCACAACGCCUUCUCUCUCCUCCCUCUCCUUCUUCCUCCUCCCUCCUGUCUUGCCCCGAUGGAACAGAGAGGGGAGGCAAUACCGACGUGCUCCGGCAACGAUCUCCGACGGCACGGGCCACCACUCGCGGUGCUCCGGCCAUGGGCACGCUCAGGGCGACCAGGCGCAUCCACCCCUGCAUCGAGGGGACCUCGGGGAGGACCAGAGCGAGAGCCCACUGGCCGAGGCGGAAUGGGGCGUCGAGCACGAGUGUGCUCGCGGCGAGAGGCCACCGGAGUAGGGGAGAGGGGCGGGGCGGCCCUGGUAUGAUGGUGUGGGUCUCUGGUGGAGGUGGAGAGAAGAGAGGGGCUCGGGGUCACCGGAAUUUGAGUGAAGGUAGACGGCGGCUAUGGCGGCGAUUAGAGGGCACGGGGCACUCGAGCGAUGGUUGGAUGGGUCGAGGAGGCGUAGGGGAGCAGGGGUGGAGAGGAUGGUGAGGUCGAGGCACCUCGGGAUGGCUUAAAUAGCCAGGACGGCGUAGGGCUCGGCCACGGCUUCGGCGAUGCAUGUCGGAGCUUCGGGAAGGCUCAUGGAAGAGGGGAGAGGCAUCCAGAGAGGUAAGAGAGAGGUUGGGGAAGCUCUGGCGGACGCGGGGAGGGCUCAGGCGAGCUCGGGGGAAGAAGACGACAUGGCGGACACAUGCAACCCAGGACAGAGCUCGUCGCGGUGCCGCAAGGAAGAAGCUGUAGGGGAGAGGGGGCCAGGGAGAAGAGGUCGACGAGGGGAGCUGUAGGACACGACGAGGCGCGCGGAAACGGCGAGCAGAGGAGGGGCCCGAGCUAGCAAACACGCAGCUCGCGUCCUUGGCAUGCCAGGGCGGUGGUCACCGCAUGGACGCGACGAUGCCACAUACUCUGGUCGACAAAAUCGUGUCCAGAGGAUGGGUCAUUCAUCAUAGAAGAGCAAUGAAGAGAGAAACAAACACACGGACGAAAGAGGUGACUAGAGGGAGCUUGGAGCCAAAGCAACAACAAGUUGUUUGUACUGAGGUGGGGGAAAUCCAGCUAGGGAGAGGCUCUCGUUUUUAGUUAAGGGUUAUCAAAUACUAGGAUGAUCAUCUCUGCAAAUUUUCAGCUCAUUUGAAUGAAUAUAAAUAGCACUUGCAGUUCAAAGGGCUCUACUGGACAGAACUGCAAAAUAUGAGGUAGAGCUCACAUACUUGCUUGGACUGAGCUAUAUUUUGGUUGAGGCUAGAUAUUUAGGUAUAUGAAGACACUGUAUAAAUUUCAUACCAUCUGGAUAAACCAAAGUGGUACUUCCUUCACACAAUAUCCCUACUGGACAGCAUCGUAGGAGAAUUACUGGGGGGAAAUGGCUAGAUAAAAUGAUCUCAAAUUUGGUGGAGAGGUAUUUCAUAGGUAGGAGAAUGUCGUGGUAACAUUUCAGAAAUUAUGGAGCAACAUAAAGUACAGUUGCUUCACAAUCCAAAAUAAUGACCAGAGACAAAGAUUUGAUGUUGUGCUCCCACAGUUGAUGAGGUGAUGCUCAAAUUUGGUGGAGAGUCGUGAUUUGAGCAUAUUAAUAUCAUGGCAAAGUUUCAACUCAUUUUAAUAUUCUUAGCUAGCACCUGCUUUACAAAGCUUCCUAUGGAUCAGGAACUUUGGAAAUUUGCCAAGAAAUAUUUAAUAGCUAAAUGAGGUUGAAUUUUGGCAUGAGUCAAUGAUAUGGAUAGGAAAGAGUUCCCAAAAAAUUUGAGAGCAAGCAAGCAGAUAUAAAGGGUACUUGCUUCACAACUUGACAGAUAUGGCAGGAUCAUAAAUUUUGAGGAAUAUUUUUAACAUGGAAACGAAGGACUUUGUCAUAUCUGAGGAAGAUAUGACCCAAAAAGUUUAUAAGAAUUAUUUGGGAAUUUUUGGAAUGAUAGAAAUGUGGGUUGCUUCACAACCCAAGGCAACAUGGUUGUUCCUUUAAUAGAAAAAGGAAUAUUCCCGGGGAAAAGAUUACUAGGAUUGGCUCAAGAUGGAAUUGGCAAGGUCUUGGGAUGGUUUGGAGGUUGGCAAGCCACUAGGUAAGAGGAAUUGAGGGUGAUCCCUUUAGGUUCCAAAACCAUCAAGCCACGGAAAAGUAAAACCAGACCAAAAUCAGAAGAAAAAGAAAUGGGCAAAAUCUAGGGUGUUACAUUCCAUGAGUUCGACAAACCUUAGGUCAUCCACUUGAGGGAAAUUGUUGUUGUCCUACAAACCUGUGCGCUUGGAGGCCCAACAUAGUCUACAAGAAUAGAAGCGUGCGUAGACAUCAAGCUAUUUCUGGCAUCGUUGCCGGGGAGGUGAGUGCUCGAAGGUAUAUCUUUAGAACCUGUAAUUAAAUCUUUUCGUUUCUUGUUUUUAUUUUCACUAGUUACGCUUAUGGAAAACUGCACUCUUAGUUCGCUGCUUAGGGAAGGCCGCUUUACCACACCCAUGGUAGAGAACUCUCCUCCACCUACUCAAUGUAUCCCAUUCAAAAUACCACUUGGGAUAAUUGAAAUAAUUAGGAAUGAUUGUUAUGCAGGAGAUGGAACAAUCAAUCCUAGUAUUCAUUUGUUGAAACUUACAGAACUUUGUGAGUUGUUUAAGAUUUCAGGUUUGACAAGAGAUGGAGUCAUGAGGAAAUUAUUUGCCUUGUCACUGAAAGGAAAAGCAUUGGAAUGGUAUAGGCUACUAGAUGAUUCUCACCUAUGGGAUUGGGAAGAUGAUGAUAAUGCUACUUAUGAUCUUGAAAAUCUUUUUGGUACCAACUUCGAAAAUGAUGAUAUGGAAAGCUCUAAGCUUGGGGAUGAUAUGAUUGCAAGUCCUUUACCCAUUAGUGAUGUGAUAAUUGAUAAUUCUUUUGCUAGUAAGAAUAAAGACAAAAUGUUUACAAAUAUACUUGCUAGCAAUAAUAAUGCUCUUCUCUACCACGAUGAUGUUAUAACUCCUAUCUAUAGUGAUUGUAAAGAUACCUAUGACAUAAGGAGAAAUUAUCCAUAUGAAACUGGUCAUAAUCAUGGAGGGAAUUACUCCCUUGCUCAACACCAUCUCGCCAAUACACAACUAAUCUAUAGUGUUCAGGUUGUUUAUGAUAGUCAUACUCCCGCUAUUACCAUUGAGAAAGAUUAUGCAUAUGUUGAGAGUAAGAGUACCUUUUUGCAUGUGGAUCAUGGUGACAAUGCUUUAUGUGAUACUUAUAUUGUUGAGUUUAUUCAUGAUCCCACUGGAAAUUAUUAUGAGAAGGGAACAUAUGCUUAUAGAUAUUUCAAUAAUAUCAAGUUCCCUCUCUUUAUGUUGAAGGUUUUGAAGUUGCACUUGUUUUGCCUUCCUAUGCGCAUUGGUUUGUGCUUCAAUGAAUUAUUCUAUUGCAAUAUUCCCAUGCAUAGGAAGCAUGUUAGACUUAAAUGUGUUUGUUAUUUACUUCUUGAUGCUCUCUUUUGUUCUACAACUCUUAUUCGUACGAGUGCAUCAUUAAAAUAUUAAGCCUAUCUUUAUGGCUAUAAAGAAAGAGCUCUAGGGAGACAACCCUUGUUAUCUUUACUUUGAGUUUUUAAUUUCAGUUUUUAGUAGUCUUGAUGUGCGUUACUACUGUAGCAACAUCAUUAUAUCUGUAUUUUUAAGCUUUGUGCCAAGUUUUAGCCUCCGAUUGCAAGAAAAUCAAAAGUUGUGACAUGUUGUCCAGAAACAGAUUCUCUCUGCUUGACGGAAAAUCACCAAAAAUCACCAGAUAAUCUUUUUGAUCUGAAUUUUUUUGACUGUAUGCCCUAUACAAUUUUAUUUUUGGCAUCUGUUCUGAGUCUUUUGAUUUGAGUUGCAUAAGUGCACUGAAAAAAUUAUUUACUACGUGCUGGUCUAUUUUUCACAGAUUCUGCCACGUUUUGCGUUUUCAUCGUUUUGCAAAUCUUAAGCUUGCUUUUUCUUUGCAAUAUUUUUUGAAAUCUUGAGAAACAAUAGCUCUUCAUGAAAAUCUUUAUUUCCAGUGGAGGAAAAAUAUUUUAUUAUGGGUACUAACCAUUCUAAUCAGCCUAUGAUGAGUUUUGUAUGAAGGGAGUUUUCAAGUAUGCGGUGGAAGAUGAUGAAAGAAGAUCCAGGAGUGUCAAGCACUCAAGCUUGGGGAUGCCCCCAUGCACCCCAAGAAAUAUUCAAGGAGACUCAAGCGUCUAAGCUUGGGGAUGCCCCCGUGCAUCCCCUUCUCCAUCAACAAUCAUUAGUUCGUCCUUCUCCAUGCUAUAUUUUUAUCACUUCAUAUGUUAUGUGCUAUGCUUGGAGUGUCCCGCUCUUUAAUUUUUAGUUUGUCUUGGUUUGCUUGUUGUUCAUAACAAGUUGGACCCUAGCCUUCUUUGUUUGGGAGAGAAACAUGCUCCACUCCACCCUAGAACACAACAUAGGUUCUCAUGGUUAUAUUUGUGUGUGUUAUUUAUCUUUUCACAGCUGUUGUCAUGCUUAGCUCUUAGUUUUCAUGCUUUAUCUUUUUAACAAAUUUUAUUUAGGUUGCUUUUGGAACUCACUUGAGUUAUCAUGCUUAUCUUGUUUAGAGAGUUGGCUUCUUGCACUGAGUUGUGUGUCUUGCAUGAGUAGGUAAUUGAGGUUGCUAUUUAAGUAUAGUAGUAACUUGUAAUAGUUUUGAGGUAUUUAUUUGAGUAAUGUUUGGACUUUUGGUGUCAAGAGCUUGAGCCUAUUAGUGAUAGGUGUCUUAUUUUGGGCAACCCAUUUGUAUUUUCAAAACUAAAAAAAUAGUUGCGAACUCUGGCUACUAGGUGGAACUCAAAUUCAUAUCCAUAUGGACGUAUUUAAUUGGUUUUGCCUUAUACUUAUUUUAACUACUUCAGACCCAAUAAGUUUUGGGACCAUGUUGUACUUAAAUUGUUUUAGGUACAUUGGAGAACCGUUGGGUGUUUGUCUUAUUCAUGAAGGUGGUGGCACUACGAGGAAAUUAGAGAUAAGCUUGGAUAUUCUAUUGAUAUACAACUUCAUACCAAUGCUAUCUCGAUAACAAGUACUCCCUCCAUUCCCUUAUACAAGGCCACUAUGGAAAAUACAUUUUGCAUCUAUACAAGGCACCGACAGUAAUCGAGGUAACAUUAAUGAUGUUUCCUCAUACUAGCAACUUGUUUAAUAAUUGUGUGCAUGUAUUCAUAAUGACACUUGACUACUUUCUUCUCACUCAUUCGUUACAUGCAUGCAGCGUAUUAAUGAUUCUAGUUAACAAAAAGAAAACUUGACUUUCUAACCGAUCAUUAAAUUUUGCCUUGGUACCCGUAAUAUGAGUUUGUGGCCUUGUAUAAGGGAAUGGAGGAGUAUCUAAUUCAUGCAUAUAUAGAGAAAUGGGUUCAACCCUGUGUAGGUUUCAUCAUGGCAUGAUUAACAUUUGUUUAAAAGUCGUGCUUCUUGCAUGUUGUUAAAAAAUAAGGCUACUUUAUUUCAAAUGUGAGUCAUUUGAGUAGAAGCAUAUAAUGGGGUUCUAUAAAAUCAUAUUCAUGAUUCACUUAUCCUAAAACAUGCCAAUUAAGCAAUUCAUUGCAUAUCAAUUCAUAGAAUGUCCCCUCGUGUGUAAUUUUGAUGAAAUUGCAAAAGCACUAUAUUUUCUUGUGGUAUUUGCUACCUUACUUAGUAAUUCAUUGUUAUGCAAACGAUAUCAAUUUGUACCAUGUGCCUUGCUCUUAUCGUAGGAUCACAAUUGUAUAAUAAUGGAUUCACUUGUGCAUACUUGUUCUUGUCAAUUGUGAAUAUUUUGUGUAUGCAAGUUUCCUUAUGGAUACAUAGACCACUAUUUUCCAUUUAGAAAAUUUAAUACAUAAGAAAGUUCAUAUCUUUCCUUGAUAUCAUUUACACCUUGUCGAUCACUUGGUUGUUUCCUUUUCGAUUCUUUGGUAGUCUUGGUAGGAGGUUGUGAAGUGAGUGCGUGUAUGUUUUGCAUAUAAUCUUGGGCACUCAUGUGUUUUGAAUGUAUUCUCGACCCAUAUUUAUCAUCAUGAUCGAACUGGACAUCUCGACCCAUGGUUAGGAGGAUAGUGAUAUCUUGUGUCCGCUACAGUUCAAGUAUGAGACUUGAUAUUGGUGCUCGCAGUUCUUUGUUUUUUUCAGUCCUUACGGCGAUGCGCGUUCAGUGAUAGGAGACAUUCCCGUGGACUAUGAAGAUGUCAAUGGCGACUUCGUUAAUAUCAAGAUGACAUGUCGGCUCUGUCUCCCAGAGAUGUUUAUAGUGAGGAUAUGCGUGCUGCGCGUCGGUAUGAACGCCCAAGGUGGUUCACUCUUAAAUUCUUGAAGGACCCGAUUGUAAUUUUUACAUCUUGUGGGGUGCUUUGUAUACCUCCCCGUUGUAUCUCACACGUGGAAGAGAAAAAGAACUAUCGUGACACGUUCACCGUGGACAUUUGCCCGUCUACUUAUCCCUUGCUUGAAAUCAAUGUAAAUAAAACACAUGUAUUUCUGUAUUUUUUACAAGUGUAUUUAAAAUGAAAACGACGUUCCAAACAAGGACUUAGCGUGAAUUUUUUUUUUGAUCCCGCCCACAAUUCAUUUUCCUUCGAGACGAUCCCGCCCAUAAAUCCCGCCAUGCCCACCGAUCCGCUCCCCAACGCAUCCCGUCCGUCCAUCCAAAGCGGGGCGAACCGCCUCACACCGCUCCACGUCACCAAUCCGCGGCACCAGCCCAUCCACCAAUCAGCGCGCACCGCCUCCCAGCUAUAAAACCACCACCCCUCCUCCUCCUUUCCCCACAGCAACCGAAAUUCCCCAACCUCUCCCGCACCCAACCCUAAUCCCCACCCCCGCAGCCACCUACCCCGACCCCAUGGCGCCCAAGGCCGAGAAGAAGCCGGCGGCGAAGAAGCCCGUGGAGGAGGAGCCGGCCGCGGAGAAGGCCGAGAAGGCGCCCGCCGGGAAGAAGCCCAAGGCCGAGAAGCGGCUGCCUUCCGCCGGCAAGACCUCCGCCAAGGACGGCGACAAGAAGGCCAAGAAGAAGAACAAGAAGAGCGUGGAGACGUACAAGAUCUACAUCUUCAAGGUGCUCAAGCAGGUCCACCCCGACAUCGGCAUCUCCUCCAAGGCCAUGUCCAUCAUGAACUCCUUCAUCAACGACAUCUUCGAGAAGCUCGCCGGCGAGGCCGCCAAGCUCGCGCGCUACAACAAGAAGCCCACCAUCACCUCCCGCGAGAUCCAGACCUCCGUCCGCC
rnacentral:lncRNA from 1 species